AUCGCCGCGGCCAAAAUCUUUCUGAUCGCACGAGCCGGAUAUCAUGACGAUUGGCCACGUGUUAAUCAUCCCAUUCGAGAGACCAGCCAGACCGUGCACGCAACCCGGACCGGAAACAGUUAACAGAAUGCCGGGUUUUCCAGUCAGGUAUCCGUAGGCGGAGGCGGCGUAGCCAGCGGACUGCUCAUUGUGGAAGGCGAUGAACCGGACGCCAAGCUGGACGGCCCGGUUCGCUAAGGAAGUAACGGGAAUGCCCACCACGCCGAACAUGUGGGUGGCACCGAAUAGUGACAAGGAUUUGGCAGCCAGGGUAUUGCCGUCGAUCUGGGCAUUUUGGGAAUUUUGCAACUCCGAACCCGCCAUUGCUUGCUAGAUGUGUGUGAUUGUGCUAAUUAGGGAUGGCAAAAAUGACACGCGAUGAGUAUUUUUGGGGAUUUUCCCUAUUUGAAAAAAGUAUGAGAAUAAUUUUAUAUUUAAUUUUAUAUUUGGGAAAGAGAUAAAUUUUUUUUUUUUACUUAAUUUCUUAUUCGGGGAGGGGAUGAGGAUGAGGUGGAAUCCCCAUCUCCUAUUCAUUUUCCUAUUUUUAAUUUAAUUUUUUAUUUUUUAAAAUUACUAAUAAAUAAAUUAUAAAAUUAUAAGUAUUGGUAAAAAUAAAAAAUAUCAAAAUAUUUAUAUUAUUAAAUUUUUAGGCUUAAUUAAUUAAUUAAAGUGUUAAAUUUUUAUUUAGGACAUUAAAAAAACGGACAGAUUCUAUUAGCCCAAAACUUUUAUUUUUAUUUUAAUAUUCAUUAAAUAUUUUAAACUUAAAUAUAUUUUUUAUUUAUUUUUAGAUGUUAUAAUUACCCACAAUAAAUCACAAUUUUAAUAUCUAAUAUAAUCUAAUAUUUACUCUUGAUUUGCUCGACUUAACUAUUGUGUUGUAAAAGGAAUAGUCCACAUUUAUAAAGUGCUCACGCCACCAUUUAUAAGUUAAUUUUGAAUCUGAAUUUGAUUUUAUUUGUAAUAAUUUUGUAUUAGACUAUUAAUUUAUUCAUGAUAGUUUGUAAUUCUUUAUGUAUUUUAUUUGAAAAUAAAGAAAUUAAGAAAUUGAAAUAAAAAAAAUGAUUUUAAUAUAGUCUUCUCAUGCUAAUGGAGAAGAUGGAUGAGGCAUUGGAGGAAGCAAAUUUGAUAUUGAGUUCAAUUGAAUUGAUCACCAUAAAGACAUGGUUUGUUAUGGACGGUUACUUUUGUUUUUUUUUUGUGGCAAAUGCGACCAAAAUGGGUAGCUUCACCCAUAAAACGACAUAACUGAGUAGUAGGUAUAGCGACAAUGCUUUCCCGAUUAUCAUUAUAUUUUUCUCUGUAGUUAUAAAUAAAGGUGACAAUUUGUUUCCAAAAGUAUCGUUAUUAAUCCUCAUCCGUUGAAUUAUAACACGUAAUUAUUACUUGGGAUGAUAUUGCUUUAUCGGAAUGAAGGAACGUAAUAACUUUAAAAAAAAAAUACAUAUGAUAUAUAAGAGCAUCAUUAGAAAAUUCUUUUAAUUUAAUUUUUUAAGAAUUUAUUUAUUUAUAUAUGUUAUAAAUAGAAGAGAGAAAAUAUCAUUUUUCAUAAGACUUUUCAAAUAAAAAUAAAUUUAUAUUAUUUUACUCAAAUUUUUUCUUUCAUUAAAAUAAUAACAAUUAUAACCAUUCCCUCUCUUUAAAAGUAAUGAAAUAAAAAAUAAUAUAGUACGAAAUUAAGUGUUCUAAAAGACUCUCUAAAUAAUUUUAAAAAAAAUUUCAAUAUGGACAAUUUUAUUUAAAAAUUAUUUUAAAACUCUUUUUAUUAACAUAACUCUUCAAAUAAAUAGUAAAUUUUCAUUUAAAAAACUUUUUAAAAAUGUCUAUAAUCGAGAAAAAAAAUAUUAACAACAAGGGUUCGGAUAUGUUGGAGUUCACCUACGGUGGAGAACGAAUCUCAGCCACAUACACAAAAUGAUAAAGAAUAAAUAAUGAGUUAUAAUGAGUUUUUUAAUAUUUAUUACUUUGCGUGUGUGGUUGAGAUUCGUGCUCCACUGUAAGUGAACUCUAACAUAGUCAUAACCUAACAACAACUACCAAAUCAAAUCUUUGAGCACAUGAUUUUAUAUGGGCUUCUACAAAUUGUGGACAUCCAUAAAUAAAUUAGAGUUCAUAAUCGAUUCUUGCUGUGACAGAUUCUGUUUAAUUUUUAAUUUAGAAUUUCUCAGUUACAAUUUACAACUCGUAUAUUCCUAUACAUGAAUUGCAAUGCCUUGGAUGCUUGUGUUGAAAUAUGAUGCAACCGAAGCAUGUGACGUUGUAUGACAUGUCAUGUAUAACGAAAAAAAUGUACGACUUGUCAUCCUUAAACUAAAAGACACGUAUGACAAUCAAAAACGGUUAUCUCCAAUUUAUAUUUCCAAUUACAAUAGUCAUUGAUUCAGUGAUCAGCAAAGUUAAAUCCUAGUUCUAAUAAUAUACUCAGGGUUUUUAUUUAUUUAUUUUGUCUUUUUAGGAAAAAAAAUUUGACUAACAGUCAUCAAGAUUGACUAACAGAUAUUACUUGACAACAAAUAAAGAAACUACUGCUCAAGAGACACUUUCAACAACGCAUAGACGUGAGGUAAAUAACAAGAGUGAAGAGAUGCUUAAUUGAUUGAUAAUCGAAGUUCGAAGCCUCAGUGUGCUAACAAGCAGUAAAGUCAACAACAGGAAGCUAUAAAUGGCAAACGUUAAUGCUCAUGAUGACAUCCAAAUCAAGUUCAGAAUCGUUGAACAUUUGAAAACAAUCACAACAGGAAGCUAUAAAUGGCAAAAGUAUGGAGGUGCCACUAUUGCCUGAGAGGGAAGAAGAGAGGAAAUGGGUGGUGGUGGUGCUACCACGGCUAUCCUUUUUGGAAGAGCUGAAGACGUUGAGCUUCUUAUCAGCGCCGCCGGCAGGGGUGGCCUGUUUUCGGUUCUUUUUGCUGGCUACAGCAACGAUGAUGGUGGGACACCUUGGAAAACUUUCACUUGAUAGUAUUGCCAUUGCUAACUCCUUAAUUAAUGUCAUCGGCUUCAUUCCACUUGUAAUAUUUUCUUCAUUCCCUUUUCUUUUUACCAUUAGAAAACUGCUUUACUUCUUCUUCUUCUUUGUUUCACAUCAAAGCAUGCUUCGUUUAUUUAAUCUAAUGACACUGCUUUGUAUGCCUUUUGUUUUGUAGCAAGUUAACAAUUUGCUUGUGCUCGCUAGAAAAUUGUUUAAAUGACUCAAUAUAAUCCACACAGCAAUAAUAUAACAAUAGCUAUUUUUAAAUCCAGAUCAACGACAAGCAACCACAACUAUAUGGUUAAACAAGUUAAAUCAAGCUCGUUUAGCUAUAAUAAGCAAUCAACUUUAGAACUUUAGCUUGACUUUCAUAGGUGAGAAUACCAAGCAGGUCUAUUUUGACUAGGCUAAGAUCAACAAAUUAAUAAACUUUGAUUAAUUAUUGGCGAAGAAUUAAUCAAUAUUACUUGGAAGAUAUUAAGAAACUUUGUUCACCUUUUCUGUCACUGGUCCAAAUAAUUUAUGAAGUACUUUUUUUAGCCUUUUUUUUUUUUUUUGGAAAGGUAGUACUUUUUGAGCUUGAACAAGCAUUAUUAUAACUGAUCUUAGUUUGCUCCAUAUUUUCCAUGCUACCGCUGUUUACAUAAAACGGAUUUUGGGAGAAUAGCAUAUAUUUCAUCAAUAAUCAAUUGAGACUGUUUAAGAUUAGCCUACAAAAUGAUAUCUAAUGUGGACAAUACCAUUAAAUUUUGAGCAGUUUGAUUUUGCCUGUGCAAUAGAGACUCUGUGGACAAGCUCAUGGAGCAGAGCAAUAUCAAAAGAUUGGAACCUAUACCUACCCUGCUAUGUUCUUUUGCAUUGCAAUUUGUAUCCCCAUCUCUGUUCUUUGGAUAUUCAUGGACAAAGUACUAAUACUGCUAGGCCAAGACCCUGAUUUUUUUGUCGAAGCCUGCAAUUACGCAAUUUGGCUCAUACUGACAUUAUUUGGCUAUGCUAUUCUUCGAUCACUGUCUCACAAUCUCCAGGCUCAGAGCUUGAUUCUGGCAUUGUUCUUAAGCUCAUGUGCAACUCUUUGUUUGCAAAUUCUUCUUUGUUGGGGUCUAGUAUCUAAAACAGACUUUGGAAAUACAGGAGCAGAAUUAACCAUAGGUAUUUCUUAUUGGUUCAAUGUGAUCAUCCUUGCACUUUACAUGGGAUAGAACUCACACGGUGAUCAUCAAGGAAAUUUUCCCUAGCACGAAGGAGUUUUCCUUCUUUGCACACCUUUCAGUUGUAAUGUUUUGGUAAUUUGCCUAUCGUACUUUGCAAUGUUUUUGUUAGUUUUCUGUUCUUAUAAAUUGACUUACAGUGUGCCUUUUGUUUCCAAUAACUAAAGUCUCGAAUGGUGGUCAUAUGAGAUUCUGGUACUGCUGUCUGGAAUAUUACCAAAUCCAAAACUUGAAACAUCAGUUCUUACAAUAUGGUACGUAUCUACACUUACAGUUUUGACUUUUGAGUAAACGGGGAAAAUUCUCAGUAAGGUUGAAUUGAUUUCCUUUGCUCUUCAUAUGCAGCUUUACAAUCCAGUCAACACACCAUUUGGUAUUAGUGCUACCGCAAUGUUUGAUCUAUAUGUUGUUUCAAAAGCAUGCACUUACGAGUAAAUGAAAUAAUUCAUUACCUACUAGUUAAAAAAACCCUGAUUAAUUCUGUAUACUGAGCUGUAUCGCAAUCCACCGUUUUGCAGCACUCGAGUGGCAAAUGAAUUAGGAGCUGGAAAUCCAGAACCAACUCGAUUGUCUACAUGUGUCGUGAUAUUUCUUGCAGUUGCAGAGGCAGCCAUAGGGAGCGUAGCUCUAUUCUGCUGCCGCAAUGUUUUGGCAUAUUUGUUCAACACUGACAAGGACGUUGUGAAUUAUGUGUCUGAAUUAGUUCCUGCUUAGCACUACCAUUUUCAUGGACAGCAUGCAAUCAGUACUUUCCGGUCAGAAUCCCAUCAUUCUGUCAGGACUUUUAUUUUCACUCUUUUCACUCAGCUAGUGCUUCAGAGCUUGAAAAAGAUUAGAUGAUUUAUUUCUCACCAAUCACUUUCCUUAUCACGAGUAGCUAGAGUAAUUGGGUGACAGCACAUAGGAGCUUAUUUAAAUCUCGGUGCAUUUUAUCUUGUUGGAAUUCCAGUAGCAUCUGUGCUAUGUUUUGUUCUUCAUCUUAGAACAAAAGGCCUUUUGCUCGGAUUAAUCAUUAAUGCCAGGCUCAACUGUCGCAAUUGCGCUCGCCAUCGUUACUUCUUUAACAAAUUGGGAAAAACAGGUUUCUAUUUCAUUUCACUCUUUUUUCAAAUUAUCUGCUUCUUCAGCAGUGAAUUAUCCUUUAAUUUUGCUGGCUGACAUUGAUCUUUCAUGUGGAUAUCUUUCCAGGCUACCUUGGCCAGAGAGAGAAUACUUAAGGGAGCAUCUUCAACUGAUAAUAGAUCGGUUCGAUGCAAAACGUAAUUAAACAUUUUGUUUCCAUCGUAUCAAAAUUUCUUAGGAUGUGAGCUGCGAGUAUAUACUGUUACAAAACCAAGACUAAUUUUGGACAAUGCUAUUGUUGUGGCAAUUAAUUUAUCGAACACUUGGUGUGCAGAAGCAAACCCAAGAAUUUUAAGAGCAAACAAUGUGCAAAUCACCAAUACAAUCAAUUUUGUGAAAUUGAUUCACAAGGCUAGGUCCUCGGAUAAUUCCUAGAUUUACCAUGAAAUUUUACAUUUAAAAGAAGUAUGAUAAACAUCCUUUAUUUUAAAAUACACAGAUUUUGUGAAUUCUUUCAUGAUUUGAAUUCUCGUAGUCACAAUUCGUAAUGGCGAUGGUUAUUAAUAUAUAAAAAUGUAAUGAUGAGUAUAGUUUAAUCCCAACCAUUAUUUGUGACAAAAACUUGAUGCAAGAUCUUAGACUCUUAGUUCGAAACGAAUAAAUGUUUUAAACCUCAGUCGCCUGAUGGAUCAUUGCCUUUGGCAUGAAUAUAGGCAUGUGUUCAGUUACAAUGGCGAAACAUUGGGGUUUUUUAUCAAGGAUUGUGCAUGGCCUGGCAGCAAGGAUGUCGUUGCAUAUCUGUUGAAGUGGAUAGCCUUUGUGUCACACAACUAGUCUCAAAUCCAGUGGCUCACACAUAUGAAUAUGGCCCUCUCCUUCAAGCCAUAAAGGAUCUCAUCAAGCAAGAUUGGCACAUCACCGUUCAACAUGUUUAUCGUGAAGCAAAUCAUGCUGCUGAUUUCUUGGUGAAUUAUGCUCUCUCUGCUCCUUUGGGCUUUGAUAUUUUCCAUAACCCCCUCCUGAUUUGGCUUCUAUUAUCAUUCAUUACAUGUAUGAGAGUAGCUUAUCCGUCUAAUUUUAUUUUAUCUCUUUUUAAAGCCCCUUUGUAUUGAAAAAAAAAAGACUUGUACAAACUAAACAUAGUCAAUUUCUAUCUUAAAUAAUCACAUUUAAGAUGGUUUAUGUGUUGAUCAAAUACUUGUUUAGGCUUUCAAACUAUAUAUGUUGAUCAAAUACACUGAGGCUCCGUUUGGUACAGCUUAUUAAAUAGAGCUUAUAACAGUAGAGUUUAUAGCAAUAGAACUUAUACUAAUAGAGUUUUUGGACAAAAAGUCAUUGGGUGUUUGGUUAUCAAUAAAAAAAGUAUUUUUGAACCAUUAAACUGUGUGAUAUUUUUUUAUUAUAUAUUUUUAGAAAAGCUCUCUAACCUCUACUCUCAAAAGCUCAAAUUUUGGGUUUUUGCUAGUAGAGGUAAAUUAGCUUAUUUAAGCUAAAAAAACUCUACUAAAAAAAACCAAACACCAUAAAAAUUUUUAAAAAGUACUUAUACGAUUAAAUAAGCACUUAUACCUUUUAAAUAAGCCAUACCAAAUAGGCACUGAGUAUGAAAUGUGGAUUGCAAAACAACUAAGGCAAAAUAGUCCCCAAAUAAUUAAAACAUGUUAAUUUCCACAACUGACAAAUAGAAGUGUCGUACAUUUUUCUAAGAGCGUGUCUUAAUCGUGCCGAUUAACAUCCAAAAUGUCUUUGUUAUUAGUCGAUUACUACUAGCAAUUAUUUUUAUUAUUAUAACAGUUACCACGAAAACAUCGUCGAGAUAUUUCAUACAUCUCAGUUCUCACCCCAUUUUCAUGCACAAAUAAAUUGAAAAAGAAAAAUCACUUAUGAAUGAUGAGAAUCGAGACUCUUGCAACAUAUCUACAUGGUAUAUUUUAACCAGGCACUGAGUGUAGCUAGGGACUGAUGAAAAUAUUGUAGCAGAGCUACCAAACUUGAGUAAUACGAAUUCAAAGUUGUUAGAUGACAUGGCAGCACACUUGGCAUUCAUUGGUGUUUUGGAAAGUUAAAGUGAUCAACCUUAUCUCUUAGCUUAUCAUUACUUCAAGAUUUACUUUCGUAUUUAUCAAGAUCAAGGUAAAGAUAACAAUUAUGCUAGGCUUGAUCUUAUUCUUGGCAUGAUCGUGUUUCCUGUAGAGCACUAUAAAUGUAAUGAUUAUGACUUAUGAGGUGAAUAAAAUAACAAAAAGGUGCUUUGUUUCUUCUUCAAGCCCAUCUUUAUAAUUUAAGUGGGACAACAUGAGAUGGUCAGCCUCUUGCAACAUACCUAAACUUCAGUAUGAUUGGUAAUCAACAAAAGUACUCAAGAGAAGCAUCUUUAUCCGAAUUAAAGAGAUCCAGUCUAUCAUUUAUUGUUGUAUUAUUAGCAUACAAUUAUUACCAGAGAAUACAAGCAUAUGGAGGUUCUGCCCGAGGCUGAGAAAGAAGAAGAGAAGAAGAAAUGGGCAGUAACACGGCGAGCGUUUGUGCAAGAGCUGAAGAAGGUGAGCUUCUUGGCAGCGCCUCUUGCCGGGGUAACUGUUUUUCAGUUGCUUUUGCCGGCUGUAUCAACGAUGAUGGUAGGACACCUUGGAAAACUUUCGCUUGCUAGCAUUACCAUCGCCACCUCUCUCACCAAUGUCACUGGCUUCACUCCACUCGUAAUUUGUUUUUCUUAAUUUUUACCAUUAAAAUGCCCUUCUAUCUCUGGCUUUACUUUUGAUUCUCUUUUCCUUUCUUUACUUUAGCUUGACUUUCAUGGGUGAUCAUAGCAAUCAACUUGAUAAAAUAGUAAGGGUAUAACAAAGGUUUUUCAUCAAACAAACAGUUUUAUAUACGUAUUUAGCUUAAAAGCUAUAGCUGCUAGGAAGCAAUACCAAAAGGAGUCUGAAUAAUUCGCCAUACCAUUUCACUCACCAGAGCAAAUAAUAUUUUCAUGUUCUGCUUGAGUUUGAACAAGAAUUAUAUUCUAACUAACCAUUUUGGUGUGCUACUGUACUUAACCAGAUUUGCGAGAAUUGCUUAUAUAUUUCUUCAUUAUUUCAAUCUGUUAAGAUUAGCCUGCAACAUGAUAUCUUAGUAUUUGUGUUUCUGAAUCAGGUACAAACUUGUCAAAUACAUGUAUAAUGUUGACGUUAACUUUAAAUUUUGAACAGUUUGGUUUUGCCUGUGCAUUAGAGACUCUAUCUGGACAAGCUUAUGGCGCAGAACAAUAUCAAAAGAUUGGGACGUAUACCUACUCUGCUAUGUUCUUUUGCAUUGCAAUAUGUCUCCCAAUCUCUGUUCUUUGGAUAUUCAUGGACAAAAUAUUAAUGCUGCUACACCAAAACCCUCAGAUUUCUGUUGAAGCCCGCAAUUAUGCAAUCUGGCUUAUACCAGCAUUAUUCGGCUAUGCGAUUAUUCGAUCACUGUGUCACAAUCUCUAGGCUCAGAGCUUGAUUCUAACAUUGUUCUUAAGCUCAUGUGCAACUCUAUGUUUGCAUAUUCUUCUUUGUUGGGUUCUAGUGUUUAAAGCCGACUUUGGAAAUACAGGAGUAGCAUUAUCCAUUAGUAUAUCUUAUUGGUUCAAUGUGAUCAUCCUUGCUCUUUACAUGAGACACUCUCCAUCGUGUACAAAAACUCGCACUUUGAUCUCCAAGGAAAUUUUGCCUUGCAUGAAGGAGUUUACCUCCUUCGCUCUCCCCUCGGUUUUCAUGUUUUGGUAUAAUUUGUCAAUCUCACUUUGCAAUGUUAUUGUUAGUUUCUGUUAUUAUUGGUUUACUUACAGCGUGCUGUUUCGUUCCCAAUAAUUAUAGUCUUGAAUGGUGGUUCUAUGAGAUUCUGAUAUUACUGUCGGGACUUUUACCAAACCCCAAACUUGAAACAUCAGUUAUAUCUAUAUGGUACACUUUUGACAUCACUUGUGGUUUGCUUUUGGAGAAUUUUUUGGGGAAACUCUCAUUAGGGUUGAAUUGAUUUAUGGUAGACUCAGGCUCAACCGUACAAGCAGUUGCGCUUGCCGUCGUUACUUCAUUAACCGAUUGGUAAAAACAGGUUUCUGUAAUUCAUUUUUACUUUUGUUCUAUGUGUUUGUUUCUUUGACAAUAUAUUAAUCAUCCUCUAAUCUGUUGGCUGACACUGAAUUUUUGCAUAAUUUCAUGUGGAUAUUUUUCCAGGCAACCAUGGUCAGGAAAGAAUAUUGGAGGGAGCACCUUCUACUAAAAAUCCAUCGGUUUGAUCCACCUAGGCUAGUAAUUAAUUACCCUGUUUUGUUUUUCAUUGUAACAAAUUACAUUCUCGAGACGAGAGCUGUAAAAUUUAAUAGUGGUGGCGUUCUGGCAAGCACCGGGUGACAAUUAUCAAACAGCUGGUGCGCAGAAGCAAAUAAACCCAACAAUAAGAGCUAAUUUUUUAUAACAGCUAGUCAGCUACCACAAACAAUUUUUUUUUUCUUCAUAAUGAACUUCAGAAGAGAGAGAGAGGGGGGUAAAAAGCUAUAAUAAUAAUUAAAAAAAAAACUUAGAAAUAACUCCUAAUAAUAAUAAUAAUAAUAAUAAUAAUAAUAAUAAUAAUAAUAAUAAUAGUCAGGUGGAUCAUAGUACGCCACUACGCCUUAUAAUUCGUAAUAAAAGUAUACUAUUGAUGCGAGAUUCUGGUUACCCUUUUGACCACGACCAGGAUCUCUGCUCAAUCAACUCGACCACGAUCAGGAUAUCUCCUCUUAAGGAUUCUUCUCCAGAAGUUCAUGCGCACACAAAAACAGGUCAAAGCACGCCGGUUGUUUUCCCGGCGUACCCAACGACGCUCAAGUUAGAAAUGAAGGUUUUGUGUUCCUGGGAACGCUAGCCACAAAUCUUAUGGCUUCUUUCUUAUAUUAAUUCUUUAGAGCUCUUUUUAUCUCAGUUCUAAUAUAAAAAAAUCUAACCCUUUUACCUUCGUUGGCUGUCUUUUUAUAGGCUCCUCCUGAGUCUAGAUCUUUCCCUCCAUUCAUGCCCGUUACUUUCCCACCUCUCGAAAGUGGAUGCUCCGUUUCCGUAAUCGUGGGUGGUUGCAUGGCCUUCGUGCCUUGAUUCUCAGGUUGGAGAGUACGUCUCGCCAACUGUUGUUGACUAGGUCUCUUCGCCUCAACCCUUAGCAGGAAUGGCUUUAUGCUUCUAACAGGAGACUGGCUUUGCGGAUGGCGUAUUCGUGGACGAGUAGAUAUUCCUGCUCCUGUUCCCCUGCUACCAGACUUCUGCAAGAUAUACCUGUUCGUGGAACCCUACUACCAGACCUCUGCUCAUCACGGCUGGUCUCGUCAAAGUACAUCCCCCAAACAUCGGUCCCCCAGUUUCUGGUGUCGGGUAACAUAGUGAGCCAACAGUAGAAACUCGACAGUUCUUGCUCACGCGGGAUAGGAAAAGGCUGCCAAGAGUCGUGUCGCAUUUAAUUACGGAUGAGGUGAUGUGGCAGAAAUCUACCCCUCCAUUUGAAUUUCAAAUCGACGGUUACGAAACCCUAGAAAUUUAUGCCGUUAAAUGCCGGCAGCCCAAGAGUUUGUUCUUCAUUAGGAAAACCCAAAACCCCCAAAAGAGAAACUCGUCUUUUACUCCGUUUCUGUCUCUCCGGCGAAUGAGUCUUUCAUCUCCCUUGGCGUAAAAGCUUCAUUCCUUGUCUCUCUCUGACUAAGUCACAACUUCAGGUAUUAUUUUUUUUUCCUCGGUCGUGGAUAGUUGUAAACAAUUUCUUUUAUAUUUUGCUUGGGUAGUGUUUGGUGGUGUAGUUCUGGUUAUAGUUUAGGGAAUGUUGAAAGGUAAGGAGAAAGUCAUUGAGAUUGAUGACGAUGAGUUAGAUUUCUUGCCUAAUUUGCUCGCCGAUUCUGCUUUCGACCCUGGGAUCCCCUUAGAACCCCUUAGACCUAGUGUUGCGACUAGUGCUAAGAGGGUGUCCCCCCAAGUAACCUCCUCAACCGGAAAUAGCGACGACAAGGGUUCUUCUGGUUCGGAAGACACUUUGAGUGAAGAUCAGGGAAAUGAUUCUGGUGCCCUCACCAGGAACAUCGCGACCAGAUAAGAGGGGCACAGUAGGAGGUAGGGCUCUAUCGCAGAAUUACGCUAUUGAUUUUAUGACGUGCACGACCAGAGUAGAUGAGCUAGUUAGUCUCCGGGCUAGAUACGGCAUCCCUGAUGAAAUUCCCCUUAGGAUCCCAGGAAAAAAUGAUACCCCCAGCCGGCCUCCUAGGGGGUAUGUUACUCUGUUUCUAGAGAGUUUUAAACUUGGGCUAAGGUGCCCCAUACAACCCUCCUUUGCCCGAAUACUCAAUGGGUUGAAUUUAGCUCCUGGUCAACUGAACUCUAAUGGGUGGCGAGUACUUUCUAGUCUAUUCAUAUUGUGGGACGGAUGUUGGCAAAGCGAGCCAACAGUUGACGAGGUGAAGCACCUGUACUAGCUAAAAAGCAGCCCCAAAGAUGCCGGCUGGUAUUACUUCCAGUCUAGUACCAAGAUCAGGAAACACAUAACCGAUCUUCCAACUGGUGGUGGUGGGACUUGGAAGAAAAAAUUCUUUUUUGCUAGGGUCCUUGGGGUCAAGUUGCAUAGAUUGACGGGAAGGAUUACCGCGUCCUACCCCGUUUCGUGUUCUCAGGUUACCUGCUCGCUUCAGAUGUCUUGUCUCUAUAGUCGUUCUCAUUUUGCUGAUUUGAAGCGAGCAGGAUGUUGUACGAACCGAGAGCUGCUAACUACUUUCAACUUGGUCGAAUCUCGUUUGGUGUCUACCGGCCAUAAAAUGGAGGAUGCUGUGAUCGGGGCCCUGACUCGGAAACGUCCUCAACCUCAUGCUACCCAGCAGGACCAGAAUAAAUACGCUCCCACUGCGAAGCGGGUGAACAUUAUGCAGCAGGUUCCUCCCUUGAAGACCCUACCACCUUCUCCUGCCAAAGUCGGAGAAACUAGCGGAGCAGCCACCGAUCCCGCUUCCUCUUCUCCUCCAGUCGGGCCGAGAUCUCGUUUAUCUGACAAUCGAGCAGAGCAUUUGGUCCCCUAUAUCAACGAGUUCUCUAAACUCGUGAGCAAGAGGGACCUGGAGGACUUUGACGGCAGCACCUUGGGUGAGCUGGUGGGGGCCAUGCAAUAUAGCGCUUUCUAUCUCAGCUGCAUGGCCACUUACUAUAAGGCCAAGGUUGAUCGUUAUGACUGGAAGAUGAAGAAGGACAUUCAAUCGGCCAUGACCAAAGCUGAUGCUGUCGAAAAGAAAGUAGGGGACUUGAAUCUCGAGAAUCUAAAGUUGAUGGAGCGAGAAUUUCUUACUCAAGCAAAGGCCAUUACUCUGGAGGAAGAGUUUACUAAGGUCAAGGAGGAUCUGCAAAGGCAGAAGGUUAUGUACGAGGCUCAGCUCGAAUCUCUUCGUGAUUCCCACCAGGUUCAGGUCGAGAACUUGGAGAGGAAAGCUGACAACCAAUACGACCAGGGACUUCGGCAUUCCUAUCGUUGUAUCAUGGCCGUCCUUGGGAAGCAGCACCUUGAUCUGAAGAUGGAUGACCUUGCUGCUGGUGUUGCUCAACACAUGGACGAGGAGGCAGCAAAAGAGGAUGUCGAAGAGGUGGAGCCAAUUGCGGUUGAGGAGGAAGACUCUCCUCCUCGUGCAAUCCCUGUUGAUGCUGCUGAGGCGAGUACCCCCCGGAUGCAACUGGUGAUACCCCCCCUGCACCUGAGGUGGACCAACCAACCGAGGCUGGUCGGCUUACUGACCCGCCGUCCUCUUGAAUGUAUCUUGUAUUGUGGUGAAUAUUGUAUGCGAAGGUUAUUAGCCUUGCAAGUUAUUCACAUAUUAAUAAAAUGUUUUCUAAUUGUUUUCUUGUGUUAUAAUUGCAAGUUAUUUUUCGUUUGAGAUUCUGCUCGCCUUCGCUUAGUCGAGCAGAUCCUGGCAUGCUUGGCUUCUGGUCUUGCCAUAAACAGACUUUGAGACAUGGUGAGCCUUUGCAUGCCUUAGAAACUUUUCAAUGUUUAGGAUUCUGCUCGCCUUCGCUUGGUCGAGCAGAUCCUGGCACGCUUGGCUUCUGGUCUCGCCAUAAAACAGGUUUUGAAACUUGUUGAGCCUUUGCAUGCCUUAGAAAUUUUUUAAUGCUUGGGAUUUUGCUCGUCUUCGCUUGGUCGAGCAGAUCCUGGCACGCUUGGCUUCGGGUCUCGCCAUAAAAUAGGCUUUGAGACUUGGUGAGCCUUUGCAUGCCUUAGAAAAAUUUUUGAUGCUUGGGAUUCUACUCGUCUUCGCUUGGUCGACCAGAUCCUGGCACACUUGGCUUCGGGUCUUGCCAUAAAAUAAGCUUUGAGACUUGGUGAGCCUUUGCAUGCCUUAGAAAUCUUGUAUCAUUACAGUUAACUGAAAUUCCUCAUUGAUUCAUUAAGUGAUGAAUUCGGCUUACACGAGUUUGUUUGGACAUAAAAUAAAUAAUAACGAGCACGAACAGAAAUAACUUUAAAACAUGAAUAAGUCUUACUGGAAAUAUUUCCUGAGGUGCGCUGCAUUCCAUGGGCGUUUAACCUCGUGGCCAUCCGUGCGAACAAGCUUGUAAGCUUUGGGUCCAACUAUCUGCUUGACCCUGUAUGCCCCCCCCCCCCCCCCAAAUUCGGUCCAAGCACUUCUUGAGUCGAGUCUUUGGUGUUCUGAUUCACUCUCCUUAACACCCAAUCUCUGACCUUGAACUGCCGUACACUCACCUUCUGGUUAUAAUACCGAGCAACCCUCUGCUGGUAAAUGGCUGAUCGCUUCGAUGCUUGUUCCUUCUUCUCAGUUAGCAAAUCCAGAUUCAGGCACAUCUGCUCGUUGUUCUCCUGCUCAUCGAAAUGAUCUGUUCGGUGCGUGGUCGUUCAUAUCUCGGCUGGUACGACUGCUUUAUGUCCGAAGGCCAGGGCGAACGGUGUUUCCCCAGUUGCUGUUUUAUGGGUUGUCUUGUAUGCCCAUAAAACACCUGAUAGUUCAUCAACCCAUGCACCUUUUUUUGCUCCAAGCCUGGUUUUCAAAAGCCUUUUUUGCUCCAAGCUUGGCAGAAAUCCCUAAAGCUAUGAUUAUCGAACUGCCUGGCAUUAUCCGUUAUCAACGCAUAAGGGAUCCCGUACCGACAAACCAGAUUUCUCCAUACGAAGUCUGUUGUCUUCUUCUUUGUGAUCCUGCUGAGGGCUUCUACCUCUAUCCACUUCGUGAAGUAGUCUAUUACUACUAUUGCAUGUGUUGCUGCUCCUCGUCCCCUUGGCAACGGCCCGAUCAGAUCAAUUCCCCAUUGAGCAAAUGACCAGGGGGAGGCCAUAGAGGUGAGCUUCUCUGGUGGUUAAUUGGAGAAACUUGCAAAACUCUGGCAGCUUACGCAGCUCCUGGUCUUCCCCUGCGCAUCCUGGUGCAUUGUUGGCCAGAAAUAUCCCUGCCUUAGAACCUUGUGGGCAAGGGACCUCCCACCAGAAUGGUUUCCACAUAUUCCUUCAUGUACUUCUCUCAGUACGUAGUCUGCAUCAUCCUCAUCCAAGCACUGAAGGAACGGUAGCGUAUAUCCUCGCCGAUAUAGUACCCCAUCAAUCAUUGUGUAUCUUGAGGUAUGGGCUCUGAUCUUCCGGGCUCCUAGCUUAUCUGGUGGUAAUACCUUGUCUCUAAUGUACGAAGUUAUCGGAUCCAUCCACAAGUAUCUUUGUUCUAUCUGCAUCACCUCCAAAUUCUGCUCGAUGUUAGGGUUGGUUUUCACUUCCAAAUGGAUCGACUUAGGCAUUUUCGGGUCUGCUAUAGCUGACAUCCUGGCCAGAAUAUCUGCUCGACUAUUCUGCUCCUUCGGUAUUUAUAUCACCUCAACCACUUUGAACUUCCCCAUCAUCUGCCUGACUUUCUUCAGGUACUGCUCCAUCUUCUCCUCUCUCGGUUGAAAUCUUUCACUGACAUGAUUUACAACCAGCUGGGAAUCAGUUAUGAUAUUCACCUUAUAUAUUUUUACUGCCUUAGCCAAUUCUAAACCUGCUAUCAAGGCUUCGUAUUCUGCCUGGUUAUUCGUGGCUGUGAACUCUAACUUUGCAGCAUAAGAGAUCUCCUCCCUCUCUGGGCUUUCCAAGACAAUCCCUGCUCCAGACCCCUUCUCCCCUGAGGAUCCAUCCACUGACAUUUGCCAUACCCGAUCUUCAUUGUUGACAGUUGCAGCAUCUGGUGGGUCAAAACCAACUUCGGGCUCUGUGAAUUCUGCUACGAAAUCGGCCACUGCUUGUGCCUUUAUUGUUGCUCGGGGUUUGUAAUCUAUGUCGAACUCACUCAACUCUGUAGCCCACUUCACGAACCAACCAGAAGCAUUCGGCUUGUGUAGAGUUUGUCGCAGUGGCUGGUUUGUUAUUACAGAGACGGGGAAUGCCUGAAAGUACGGUCUCAGCUUUCGAGCAACAACCACAAGGGCGAGUGCCCAUUUCUCCAACGGUGGGUAUCUGGUCUCGGCGUCGAGAAGGGCCUUGCUGGAGUAGUAUAUUGGAUACUGAACCCAUUCUUCCUCUCUCACUAGAACAGAACUUGCGGCAUGAUCUGAUACCGCCAAAUAUAAGAACAACAUAUCCUCAUCUCUUGGUGUGGACAACAGAGGUGUUUGCUGUAAGUAUUGCUUCAAGUUCUGGAAGGCUUCUUCACAUUCUGGGGUCCAUUCUGUUUUCUUUCCUCUCCUUAUCACUUGAAAGAAUGGCUGACACUUAUCCGUAGCCUUGGAUAUGAAUCGGCUUAAUGCCGCCAACUUCCCCGUAAGGCUCUGCGUCUCCUUCAGGUUACGAGGACACCUCAUCUGCACGAUCGCCUGAAUCUUCUUGGGAUUUACUUCAAUCCCCCUAUGACUCACCAUGAACCUAAGGAAUUUGCCCGACUCGACCCCAAAAGCACACUUCUCCGGGUUGAGCUUCAUCUUAUACUUCCUCAGAAGUCCAAAUGUUUCCUCGAGAUGUUCGACAUGUUCCUUUGGGAUUUUUGACUUGGUUAUCAUGUCGUCCACAUACACCUCCAUUGUUCUCCUGAUCAGUGGCUUAAAGAUUUUGUUCACUAGCCUAUGGUACGUGGCCCCCGUAUUUUUAAGACUGAAUGGCAUUACCCUGUAACAGAACAGACCCUGGUUAGUAAUAAAUGUCGUGCUCUCCUCAUCCUGCUCGAACAUGGGGAUUUGAUUGUAUCCCGAGAAUGCGUCUAUGAAGCUGAGCAGACCAUGUCCAGCUGUUGAUUCUGCAAGCUGGUCAAUCUUUGGUAAGGAAAAUCUGUCUUUCAGCCACGCCUUAUUGAGGUCCAUGAAAUCCACACACAUCCUCCACUUGCUAUUAGCUUUUUUUACUAGCACCACAUUCGAUAUCCACUCAGGAUAAUUGACUUCUCGAAUGAACCCUACUUUCAAGAGCUUCUUCACCUCGCUGUUUAUAGCCUCAUACCUCUCCUGGUUGAAGCACCUCUUUUUCUACCUUACUGCCCGAGCACCUUUCUUUAUUGCCAGCUUAUGACAUGCUACCUCAUGGUCGAUCCCUGGCAUGUCUUCAUGUGUCCAAGCGAACACAUCUGCAUGAGCUCGCAGGCAUUGCACCAACUCUUGCUUCUGCUCUUCUUUAAGCUUCGACCCAAUUCGGAUCUUUUUUCCUGAAUCCUCUUGUCCCAGGCUUACUGUCUCAAGCUCCUCUACAGGUUCUUGUCUGUCAUUCUUGGCUCCCACUCGGGUAUCAAGGGAUAUUAUCUGCAUUGCUUCCCUUGCUGCCGAAGAGUAACAGCUUCGUGCGAUUCUCUGGUCGCCUCGUACCACUCCAACUACCCCAUUCACCCAGUACUUGAGAACUAGAUAAUGGUUGGACAGCACCACUUUGCUCAUCCUAAAAAAUGGUCGACCUAGGAUUAUCUGGUAAGGACCCUCCUCAUCAACCACUACAAAAUCCAGCAUCAUAGUUCUUUCUGUCGGAUAGUUACCAAUCGUGAUAGGCAGUUCAACCACGCCCAGAGGAACCAGCUUUCCUCCUCCAAAUCCCUUUAAGGAGGUAUUGGUGUGCUCCAACCUCAAAUCUGAUAUUCUCAUCUCCUCCAGAGUUGACUUAAACAACACAUCAAUUGAGCUUCCUGUGUCAACCAGUAUCCGGUCAAACUUCUUGCUAGCAGCGGUGGCCUUGAUGACUAAGGCAUCCUCGUGUGGGCAUAGAAUCCAUUCUUCAUCCUCAUCUGUCCACAUGAUUGGCAUUUGCCUUACUCUUGCUCGUUUGGCUGCUGGGGUGUUGAAGAAUACCUCUUUACUAGUCAUGGCAUAUCUAGCAUAGUUCUUCCUCGACCUGUUGGAAUCUCCAGCCAACGUUAGACCCCCAUCAAUCACUCUUACUAUAGGCUGCUCGUGGCUCAAGUUCCUGUUACUCUGCUCCCCUUCACAUGCCGAGGCCAUCAUCGGAAAAGUUCUAUCUAUAAACUCGUCCAGGUAUCUAUUUCUCACCAAAUCUUCAACCUGGGUCUUGAGGUCUCUACAUUCUGUUGUGGUAUGGCCAUGAGUGUCAUGGAACUUGCAAUAGUGUCCCAUAUCCCUCCUGCCGAGUAGCUUUGUUAUUGGGGCCGGGAGGUACAGUAAUCCCCGGUCCUUUAUGGCUUCAUACACCUCGUCCAGGGACAUCUUCAAGAAAGUGUACCGCCCAUAGUCCUGUUUCUAGUCGAUCAUGUGCACUGCCCUUUCUCUAUUUGUGCCAUUCUGAGUUGGAGGUGGUGGCAGCGCUUCUGGUCUGCUCCCUCUACUACCAUGGGGGUGUGGGUGAAGGUGACCAUAUGCCGCGUCAUGCCUUCUCCAAGGCUCCCUAGCUGGUGAGCGAGGAGGUUGCGCUAUGCUGCGUGAAUACUGUGGUGGCCUCUGAUGAGGUUGGUAAGCGGUUACCCGACCUCCUGUACCACUACCUGAGGCAUGGUAGUCCCUCCUCUUAAUCGGCCCAUUUCCUGGUACGGCCCUCUUCUCUUUCCUCUUUAAUCCUUCCAGUUGGUCUGUCUUAAUCCGUGCUGCCUUUUCCUCCUCGAUUUCUAUGUCUCUCUUAGCCUGCUCGUAAGCAGCUGAAUAUGUCUGAAUAGCUAGGCUUCUCAAGUUAUACCACAGCCAUCCUAUCUUCACUCCUUAUUUCAAUCCCCUUAAUGCCUGAGGAUGGUUGAAGGCUCCCAAGUCGAAGAUAACAAGGUGGAACCUUUUGAUGAAUUCCCGAAGGGUUUCCUCUUCUCUCUGCUUCAUGCUCGUCAGCUCCAUCAUAUCAUCUUCCGGUGCCAUUGCCCUACAAAACUGCUCUGUAAAUUCCUGGCACAUCUGCUCGAAGGUUUUAAUGCUCCCCCGAGGAAGUUUCUUGUACCACUCACGUGCUCGUCCCUCUAGAGAUAGUGGGAACACCCUACAUCUUUGGGCUUGAGAUAGUCCUUGCACUCCGGUUAUGUCGUUGAAGUGCUCUAUGUGCACCAACGGAUCAGUUCGCCCCGAAUAUCUGAGAUCUGGGAGGUGAAAAUCUCUUAGAAUGACUGCCCUUAUGAUCUCUGCCGAGAGCAGGGAUUCUCCGUCCAGUACUAUCCUCCAACCAGGUGCUCUACUCCUUCCUUACAUAUCAUCAAUUACAUGCGCUAGUCUGUGCACUUCCUCCUCUAGCUGCACUGCACUGCACUACCAGGGUCACGUGCUGCAACUUGAUCCCGCUCUUGCUCUACAUCAUAUAAGUGUUGCCUGAGCUCUGUUUCCUCUGCAUUCACCACCCCGUCAUUCUCAUCAAAAAUCUGUCUUCCUGGGGAUUGCUCUUCUUCUCUAUGAAUUCCUCCAUGUAGAGAUAAGUUACCUCGUUCACCACCAAAUCUCCUGGUGGUCUGACUUCUCAUCAUACCGUCGUGCCCUGGUGCCACUCCGCCACCUCUCACCUUUUCCUCAUAAGUUCCCCUUCGUUCACCCCUCAGUUCAUAUAGGAUGAUUGUCAGGGUCUCCAUCUGCUUUUCCAUCCGUUCCAUUCGGUCAUGCAUGGCUUUUUCCUGUGCUUCAAUGGCUAUCUCCCUCAACGUCACGGAUUCGUUAAGCCUCAUAUCACCUCCUUGUGCACUACUUCCUCCUACAUCCAUUGUUUCUUCUCUUGCUUUGCUUUUCCUUUCUCUGUCAACAGAAGUUUUUUUAUUAGCUCUCCACAGACGGCGCCAAAAUAUUGAUACGAGAUUCUGGUUACCCUUUUGACCACGACCAGGAUCUCUGCUCAAUCAACUCGACCACGAUCAAGAUAUCUCUUCGUAAGAAUUCUUCUCCAGAAGUUCAUGCGCACACAGAAACAGGUCAGAGCACGCCGGUUGUUUUCCCGACGUAAACCCUCCGACGCUCAAGUCAGAAAUGAAAGUUUUGUGUUCCUAGGAACGCUAGCCACAAAUCUUAUGGCUUCUUUCUUAUAUCAAUUCUUUAGAGCUCUUUUUAUCUCAGUUCUAAUGUCAAAAAAUCUAACCCUUUUACCUUCAUUGGCUGUCUUUUUAUAGGCUCCUCCUGAGUCCAGAUCUUCCCCUCCAUUCACGCCCGUUACUUUCCCACCUCUCGAAAGUGGAUGCUCCGUUUCCGUAAUCGUGGGUGGUUGCAUGGCCUUCGUGCCUUGAUUCUCAAGUUGGAGAGUACGUCUCGCCAACUAUCGUUGACUGGGUCUCCUCGCCUCAACCCUUAGCAGGAAUGACUUUAUGCUUCUAACAGGAGACCAGCUUCGCGGAUGGCGUAUUCGUGGAUGAGCAGAUAUUCCUGCUCCUGUUCCCCUGCUACCAGACUUCUGCAAGAUAUACCUAUUCGUGGAACCCUGCUACCAGACCUCUGCUCAUCACGACUGGUCUCGUCGAAGUACAUCCCCCAAACAUAUACUGCUGAAACAUAAAUUAAAAAAAAAAAAACACUCGAUGAGAUAACAAUACAAAGAAACAACUAAACCAAUUAUUUAGAAAAUCAUAUUUGCAUACCACAAACUAAUUUAAAGAUAACGUAUGAUAUAACAGCAGUAGCAGAAAUAAGGUUGAUACAAUAAUUAAUGAAGCUCUACGCUACACCAAUUAGUGGUACCAUACCAUGCAUGAUCCAUCACACAGAGGAAAAAAAAAAGAUUUUAUUUAGCUUACUAUAUACGUAUUGCCAGCAGCGUGCAUGCUAGUACGGGGGAGGGGGAGGAUGAGGAGGGCGGUUCCAAGGCGGCGUUGGCCUGUAACGAUCAUAGUUGUAAGGAGGUGCAGGAUCGAGGGGCCCCGAGGCGUUGCAAAAGAAGGGGGUGGAGAGUUAUGGUGAUGGUACCGAGGAGGUGGUGGAGGAGGCAAAUGGAACAAUUCGGGGCGUGGUUGAAAUAUAAGUGUGCAACCCAAGAGGGGGGUGAAUUGGAAUUUAAAAAAUUAUCCUAGCAAAUCCACACAACAAGCAAUCUAAUGUCUUAAUAAAAAUUGAAAACAAUAAAUUCAAUCAUGCACAAUAUUAAAAGAGUAAGGGAAGAGAAAACAAACACAAUGAUUUUUACGUGGUUCGGCAAUCCCCGCCUACGUCCACGCCUCCAAGCUCACAGGGCUUGAGGAUUUCACUAAGCUAGCCUCUCAAGGCUUCAAACGCUUACAAUUGACUUCCAAGGUGUCAAUGGACCUUUACAACAAGAGAUUAUCCCCAAUCUCUUAACCCAAGUGUAUCCCAACACUUACAAUCUUUUAACUUGAUUUUACAAAAAAAGAUUACAAAUGAAUCUCUCUCACACAAUGUGUUUGAUCACAAGUAAAAGCUCAAUGUGUGAAUGAAUGAGAUGAAUACAAGAAUUUAAAGCUCAAUGAAAGUUGUAUUCUCAAUAUUUUGCUCAAUGAUGAUCGUUCGAAUUCAUCUUGUUUGAAUUGGAUUGAGCUUAUUUAUAGUUGGAGCUGAAAAACUAGCCGUUAUAGACUGUCUGCUCGAAAACGGUUCGCCGUUAACCAUUAACGGUUAACCGUUUAGGCUGGUCAAAGUUACCGUUGGGUCAAUUUUCAAAUAAACGGUUAGCCGUUUAGGAUUACCCUUUCGCCGUUAAUUUUCAGAGACCUGUAAAACAAAUUUGGUUUAACCGUUCUUACUAAACGGUUCAAGGUUAGCAAUCUGGAAAUAAUCGGUUAACCGUUUUCAGUAAACGGUUCACCGUUAGUUUCCAGAAUCAUCAUUUUAACAAUACUUUGCAGAACAUGCUUUCUGGAAAUUAUCGGUUAGCCGUUUUAAAUAAACGGUUAGCCGUUUGCUACAGUGAUUGCUACAGUGAAAAUAUUUUCUAAAUUUACAGUUUGACCCCAAAACUUUAUAAAACUAUAUUACGGCCCAAAACGUUAUGAAACUUUGCACAUAUGUCCAAUUUCAGAAUUUCUAAAUAAUACUUUGUUAAUCCUAAAACUUUCUGAAAUUAUGGUAUAGCCCAAAAUACUAUGACACUUUUCAAAUAAGUCCUUUACCAAGAUUUCAAGCAAUACAUGUUUAUUUCAAAGUUUUCAAAAUUCUUUCAAUUAAACCAUAAACUUUGAAAAACAACCAAUUUCAUAAAAUCAUUUUUCCAUUAAAUAUGAAACAUUUAUAAUGUGAAAAUAAUGAUUUAUUUAAAAAGAAUAAAAACAAUCAAUUUCAUAAAAUCAUUUUUCCAUUAAAUAUAAAACAUUUAUAAUGUGAAAAUAAUGAUUUAUUUAAAAAGAAUAUUAAAUAAUUUGAGCUUAAAAGAUUAAUCAUUCUUAAUCUUGUUUGUUAUCAUCAAAAUCAAUAUUAUGGAAACAUAUAUGUUAACAGUGGUGGCGGUGGUGGUGGAGGUGAAGGACCGUAAACGUGAGGUGGCGGUGGUGGGUGAGGAGCAUAUGGGUCUGCUACUGGUGGUGGUGGUGGUGGAGGACUUGGACCUGGACCUGGACGGUGGUGUCUAUGAAAUGCCAUGUUUUUGAAAGUUAGGUGAUCAAUACAAAGUGUUGUGCUGUUGUUUUUGUUUUAAGGGAUUUGGAGUUGUUCGUAUGUACACUAGAAACAUGUAUUUCCUUUGACGGUUUGUUGGAUGACGUGCAGAUGUUUGUGCCUCGGCUUCCUCAGCCAAUCAGAAUUUUAUUUUUGUCAAAAUUCGUUUCGUCUCCUCAUAUACUCCGUUUCAAGAGUGCAUAAUAUUUUAUUGACUAUUAUUAUUAUUAUUAUUAUUAUUAUUAUUAUUAUUAUUAUUAUUAUUAUUAUUAUUAUUAUUAUUAUUAUUAUUAUUAUUAUUAUUAUUAUUAUUAUUAUUAUUAUUGGUUUUGACUAUUUUAUGAUGUUUAGACUUUAGACUACAAGAUAUGAUGUCAAAAAUAGACCCAUGUAUAAUAAUAUUAUGUUGUUAUCUUUCAUUUUGAUAACAAAAUCUCUUCGUAUCAUCGCAGAUUAUUCAUUUUCAUUUUACGAAAAGUAAAAAAAAAAAGCAUGGUUGUAAAGAAACUGCACCAUUAAUUAAAUCGUGAAAAUAUUAUUAAUCAUUACUAUAUGAUUUUCUAACUUUCUAAUACCAGUAACCAUAUUAUAAUAUACUAACACACUUUUUUUUCAAUUACACCAAAUUAUUAUUAUUAUUAUUUUCAUAAUAAAUUGAAGCUGUAAUAAUAUUUUUAGCACCAUUCCAAUUUAUUCAAUAAAUAUAUAAUUUAUUAUUUUAUAAAAUAGGCGGCCUCUAACUCUAGUUGAAAAAAAAAGGAAAAAAAAUUGAAUCGAGAACAUGUUUGAGAAUACAACAAAAAUUAUACCAUUCAAAGAAAAAUUAUAAAACCUAAGGGGUAUUAACAAAAAUUCCUUGGACUAGGCCAGGCAAUGUCUGCCACUGGUGGAAAGUAGAUAUUUAUUUGCAUUUGUGGUUGUAAUCGAAAAUGGUAGGGAUAGUGAAUCUUUUAGGUGUAUUUCUUACGGGUGUCGUAAUUUUGACAUCGACUAAAACUUGUUUAAAUUUUGACAUUUUUAUUAGUGCAUUGAAUGUAACGUGUUGCUAUUACGAUGUAGGGAUGGCAAUAGGGAGGGGAGGGGAGGGGACCAAUCUCCCUAUACCCAUUCCUGAUAUUUUGUUAUGUCCCCGUUCCCUCCGCGUCCCCGUCAGAAUUGCUUAAGAGAAUCUUUAUCCCCUCUCUGAAUAAUAACAGGGGAUCCCCGAGGGUCCCCGGUCCCCGAAUAACUAAUAGUCUAAUACAUUUUUUUUUAUUUUUUUUUAAAUUAAUCAUAUUAAAAUAAAAAAUUCAGAUAAAAAUAAAGUUUAAAAUAUAUCUUGCAUUAAUAUUGAUCCAUUACAAAGUCACAUUCAAAAUAUAAAUUAUUAAAAUAAUUAUCUUUGUCAAUGACUCAAUCUUCAUAAUCCUACAAUAAAAAGAAAAAAAAUUAUUUUUAUAUCGGUAAUAAAAUAAAUAAAAUAAAUGUAGAUACUUAAUUAAUAUUUUUAAUAAAACUAUUUACCUCCUGCUCCUCCUGUUCUUCCUCGAGAAAUGUGGCAAAUUGAGAGCUAGUCUCAGAUUUCAAACCUAAAACAAUGAAAAUGAUAUAAGUAACGUAACUUAUAAGUGCAAAUAUUAAUUACUGUAUAAUAUAAUUACAAUGUAAAAUAAACUCAUACUGCUAUUGUAAGCUCGUAACCAACUUUGACAGCACAUUAAGGCCUCCAAUGUGUUUGGAUGAAGUUUGUUACGGUGUGCACUCACAACUCUACCACCGGUGCUAAAAGCUGAUUCAGAAGCAACUGUUGUAAUUGGAAUUGCCAAAAUAUCUCUAGCAAUUCGAGCUAAUGUAGGAUUCGAAUUAGGAUUAGAACUGUUGUAAAUUAUAAUUAGGCAGCUCUCUCCUGUAUCAUUGUGGUUUAGAUUAAAAAUUUAAGACUUUAAUUAGUUAAUUAAGUUUAAAAGUUUAAUAAUAUAACUAUUUUAAUAUUUAUUAUUUUUAACAAUAUUUAUAAUUUUGUUAUUUAUUUAUUAGUAAUUUUAAAAAUAAAAAUAAAAUUAAAAAUUAAAAUGGGGAAAUGGGUAGGGGAUGGGGAUUCCACCUCAUCCCCGUCCCCUCCCCGAAUAAAAAAUUGGGUAAAAAUUUUUCCCGUCCUCUCCCCGAAUAAAAAAUUGGGUAUAAAAUUAUCCCCGUACCCCCCCCCCCCCCGAAUGAGGAAAAUCCCCGAGGGUACCCGUCCCCGUGGGAAUUUUUGUCAUCCCUAUUACGAUGUCACGAAGUCAAGACUCUGUCCUGCUUUCUGCUUCGGCGUUUGUGAUUUGGCUUUGCCAACACCUUCUUCCCUUUCUAAUAUUGUAUUUCCUCCUAUGGUAGGGUGAAUAUUUACUAAUGCUGCAGUGCACACGUCACGAGAACUGGGCUUUCGGUUUGCACAGAUCGAACCCUGGGCUCUUGUUAAGUUUUAGCGCCCCCCCCCCCCCCCCCCAAUACCCAAAUACCAUCCAAACGGAUAAAUAACAACAAUGGAAAAUUCUCAUAGCACCUCUUUUAAAUUUUAUUUUUUUUUCCUAAAAAAUGAUGCUAUAAAAAAAAAACCAUAAUUUUUACUCUUCGAACCUAUCUUUAUAUUCAACGUAAUUUUAUUAAAUCCUAAAUAUAUUCUCAAGCAAUGGAUUUUUGUAAUCAUGUUUGUUCUUUUGCUGGAAUUUAAAUUGCAAUGGCAGCUAGGGGUGGGCAAUUUAUUCGACCUGAUCCAAUCCGAUUAAAAAAAAAUCAAGUUAGGAUCGGAUCAGAUGGAAGAUAAUAUCCGAACGGGUUGGCUAAAAAAAAAAACACACGCAAGACACUCAAACACCACCCACUCAUUCACACAGUCACACCACUCUCAGCCCACUCAAACUCAAACCUACAACAAUGAGCAGCCUACAGCCAACACUCUCGUCUCUCUCAACUCAACUUCACUACUUCAGUUCUCAUCUCGCUCUCGUCUCUCUCUCAAGUCUCAACUCUCGAGAUUCAAGAAAGAAAAUAGAAUUGUGACAAACACACUCUAAAAUAUUUUGCAAAGAAAUAUCAAAUGGAUGAAAAGAUAUAAAUGAAGGAUUCCUAAACCAACAGAAGUGGCAGUGCCUUUCUUUAAGCGCAUUCUCAAUCUUGCACGAGUGACUGAUGUUACUUACAAGGAUGAUAAUGGCUACACCAAUUCUUAUGUGAUCAAAGACUAUAUCACCCACUGCUUGAGAAGCCUGUUCUCUUUUGAGUAGUUUUUGCGAUGCAGAUUACAUCCUAUAUAAACUAUUAAUGUUGUUUUUGGAAUAAGCUCUGAAAUUUGUUCCUCAGAGAGCUUUUUUGCUGCUGUCAUCACAAUUAUCAAAUUCUUCCGUACAAUUAGUAAAGGCUUCCCUGUUUAUAUAUAUAUAAAUAAAAGAAAUCACCCAACAUAGUGUUGUUUAACUGAAAAAGGAAAUUCAAGCAUCCAAAAUCAAAAUAUCCAAAAUGAAAAUAAGGUACCUAAUACUUGAAAGAAAGGGAUAUUCAAUACCCGUUUCAAAUCGUGCAUAAUCAUCUAGCAUGGCUCUCAUUGUCCCUCUGCAGCGCCGACUUUUUCCAUUAUUUUCUGCCCUUCUUCACCUUCGUCAUGAACCGAUCAAGACCGAAUGGAUCAGCUUCUUCAGCCUCCUUCUCAAACUUAACCGGUCCGUCCCUCGUACCAGACCUCUCAGAUGUACCUGCAAAUGCCUUGUCGGGUUUAAACCGAUCAGUCUUUCUAAUCUUCUCCAACUGCUCAUCCGCAUUUGCUCCAUAAAUUUCAGCAUCAGCAUCUUUUUUGGGCCUGUAAAGGGUUGAAAGAGUCGGCUGUGCUGUAAACAAGCCUUUGUCAUACACAUUAUACUGAUCACCGUCAGUGGCAAAACCAGAGUCCAUUCCUUUCUUCUGAUUAAAAAGCCUUGCGUCAUGAGUAACCUCACCCGCUCUGCCUCCGCCACCAAAAGAGGCCAUCCCAAGGGCAACUUUCUCGCUAACAUCCCGAUCUCUGUCUCUAACAACCUUACUAUUCUUCUUCCCCAUAGCAACAUCCUUGGCCAGCAAAUUUCUCUCCCUCUUCCUCUCGCGACGUCUCUCCUCACGAAUUCUCUCCCUCUCCCUUUCCCUCUCCCUCAGCAAUCCCUGCUCGCUUUCCUUCAAUGUCUCCAUUGCCUUACGUGCUAAAUCCCGUAGCUGCUGCUCUUUCCUUUCCUUCUCCUUCGUGAGCAUCUCCAUCUGCACCUUGAAUCUUAUUUCAAUUGCCUCCCUCGCCUUCUGCUCUGCCAAAUAAAGAGCCUCCGACAAUUUAGCAAAUCCCUCAUUUACCUGAACCUCCAGAAGCCCUCUUCCUUCGGCAGCGAGCUGCUUAUCCAGCGGAAUUGUAAACCGCUGUGGGUUCUUCCAAUUUGAUAUACAUGGUGGGAUUCUCCAAUCCAGCUGAUCUUUCACAGUCAUAGGCCUAGGAGGGGAAUGCAUGACCGGUACUGGCGGAGAUCCCGAAGCUUUCGGCACACGCUUGUGCUUCAACUUUGGUGGCUCAAGUGGGUCCAAAGGCAUCGCCACCACUCUCAAAAUCCUCCUUUUUAGGGAUGGCAAUGAAUUGGAUUUGAUCCAAGAUCCAUGUAAUUCAAAUCCAAUCGGAUCGGAUUUGGAUCGGUUUAAAAUAGAUUUGGAUCAGAUGUGCGGAUUUAAGACGAAUCUGGAGUAGAUAUGGAUCUAUCGUAAUAUUUAAAUCCAUAUUCAUAUCCACUCAUCUUUUAAUUUUAUUUUAUUUUAAAAGUUUCUUAAUAAUUGUGGAAUGAUAAUAUGAUAAUAAAUUUUAUUCAUAGCAUAUAUAGUAGUAUUUACCAUGUAUUUAAACUCUUUUUUUUUUUUAGAAGAAUGUAUUUAAACUCUUAAAACUUAAAGGUUAGUUUUGUAAAUUUAAAGGUCAGCCAGCCUCAAAGCAUGUACAUGCAAUAUUCAAAUUGCAAUCCAAGUAAUAUAACCUGGUAAUUUAUUUUAUCAUAUUGGCCAAAUAAUUUUUAAGGAAUAUAGUUAUUCAUAUAUUUAGUCAAAUAUGGUCAUAAUAAAAAUAAUAAAGGACUGAAUAUAAAUCAUAUUUAAUUUAUAUGUCAUUAUUUAAUGUUGUAGGAAUGAGGGUAGGUGUAUCGUGGAUAUUAGAAUGAUGAAGGAGACAAUAGAAUAUUAGAUUGAUCUUACUCCUGCAAUUACUUCUAAAUGAUAUUUUAUUAUCUUUCUUAUUUGUUGUUUUGGUAUAAAAGUAUAAGCUACAAUAUUUAUUAUAUUUUUUAGAAAAAUUAUAUAAUUUAUUUGUUAUCAAUACAUUUUAGCCUUCAAUUUUCAAUCUAAAAAAUUAUUACUUUUUUAUUACGGAAUUUUAGAAUUCAUGAUGGAUCUAGAGCAGAUUUGGAUUUUAAUUUUUUUUCAGAUUUGGAGCGGAUAUAGAUAUUUAUUUCUUUUUUGGAUCUGGAUAUGGAGCGAAAAAUAUGGAUUCAUAACAGAUCUGGAGCAGAUAUGGAUCUUGAUUUUUAUUAUGGAUUUGGAUCUGGAACAAAUACGGAUCUUAAUUUUUAUUAUAGAUUUGGAUCUGGAGCAAAAUAAAUCCAACACAUAUCUACCUCAUUGCCAUCCCUACUCCUUUUAGCCCCAGAAUAGAAGUCCACCGAUUGUUGUGAUGGUCUGUACAUAAUAAAUUUGGACUCUAAUGACUGCGUAGGUGCAGCAUUCACAACACUGUUAACAAUCUUUUCAAGUUCAGCUUUUGUUACAGGAGUAGUCACGUCAAUCUCAUCUUCUUGAUCAGGAAAAGCGCUACCAUCAUCAUCAUCGAAAUCCUCAAGUUUCCGUGGAAGUAUCACCAUGUUACAAAGAUUUCUUGCUUGUCAAUCAAGCCUGUGAUUAGUCCCAAGCAAUUUAAGGGUUCCUCAAGGGCUGAAAAAGAAUCUUGUGUUUUUUGUUAUCGUACACAACCAGCAAAUUUCUCUCCCAGUAGCGGCGACUCUGUUUUAAGAUUUGCUAAUGCUAUGCUAGUUUGCUAACUUGUAGCGGAGGUAAUCUCACUAAUGCUAAAACUAGAUAUCCUGAUGUAAAAACUUUAAACACAAAAAAAGUGCUCGUUUUGAAAAAUUAUUUGAGAUUACAACCUUAUUUAUUAGUUUUAAUUAUUACUCAAAAAAGCUAUUACAAUAAUUGAAAUCCUAGUCAAAACUAAAAUAAUAAUAAAAACUAAUUAAUAUGGCAACAGAUAAGACAAAUCCUAAACAAAUUAGAAAUACCAAUUAAAAAGAGGAAAAUUUCGGAUUAGAACAAAAAGAAAGGGCAAUAAUCUUUAUCCGUAUCCGUAGAAAAUAAGGAAAAUUUUUUAUGUAGAUAAUAAAGACUUGCCCACGGUAGUGUCCUAAGAAAGUAAGGAAAACCAAUCUAUAUAAAGAGACUUGCCUGUGCUUGUCGAAAAGCAUUAUACCUUCUUCUUUUAAUUAGCCUGCUAGCUAGCUCCUUAGUAAUCAGUCCCAAAUUUUCAGCUUUCUUAACUUCUUCUCCGUUACCUUAUUCAUCAUCUUCAUUAAAACAAGAAAACAGGAGAAAAAAAAUGCCUGGUGUUUCAAGAAUUGAUAAGGGUAAUGGCAGAGUGUACCCUGGAUACCUUACCCCAUUCGUCGCAAUCACAUGUAUCGUUGCUGCCAUGGGUGGCCUCAUCUUUGGUUACGACAUUGGGAUUUCUGGUAAAUAUAUUUAUACUUACAUACAUAUUAACUAGCUAAUUAAGUACUGUAGUAUUGUGAAUUAUGAGUUAUGCUGACGGUUUAAUCAAAAUAUUAACCUAGCUAACUGCAUAAAUAAUAUAACGCAGGUGGUGUGACCUCAAUGCCUUCGUUUUUGAAGAGUUUUUCCCAUCGGUGUACGAGAAGCAACAAGUAAACUCGUCAGCGAAUCAGUACUGUCAAUAUAACAGCGAGUCGUUGACUUUGUUCACGUCUUCGCUAUACUUGGCUGCUUUGAUAGCAUCGCUUGUAGCAUCAUCGGUGACAAGGAAAUUCGGAAGAAAGUGGUCCAUGUUAUUCGGUGGGGUUCUGUUUCUUGCUGGUACAUUAAUCAAUGGCUUGGCCCAAGACGUUUGGAUGCUUAUUGUUGGCCGUCUUUUGCUCGGUUUCGGUAUCGGCUUCGCUAAUCAGUCUGUGCCACUCUACCUCUCUGAGAUGGCCCUCUAAAUACAGAGGAGCCUUGAACAUUGGGUUUCAAUUGUCAAUCACCGUUGGAAUUUUAGUGGCCAACCUGUUGAAUUUUUUCUUUGCUAAGAUUAAGGGUGGCUGGGGAUGGCGUUUGAGCUUAGGUGGUGCCAUGGUCCCUGCCCUUAUCAUCACCGUCGGUUCAGUUUUCCUCCCGGACACACCAAAUUCAAUGAUUGAACGCGGCCAGCACGAUGAAGCCAGAAAGCAACUUAGAAAAGUUCGCGGUGUUAAUGAUGUUGACGGAGAAUUUAAUGAUCUUGUUGCAGCCAGUGAAGCAUCCAAGCAAGUUGAACAUCCUUGGAGGAAUUUGUUGAGAAGGAAAUAUAGGCCUCACCUUACCAUGGCUGUUCUGAUUCCCUUCUUCCAGUAAUUCACUGGCAUUAAUGUUAUCAUGUUUUACGCUCCUAUUUUGUUCGACACAAUUGGUUUCGGCAAUGAUGCAUCACUCAUGUCCGCUGUGAUCACCGGUCUUGUCAAUGUUUCCGCAACAUUCGUAUCAAUUUGUACUGUCGACAAGUGGGGAAGAAGACGUCUUUUCCUUGAAGGUGGUGCUCAAAUGUUAAUCUGCCAGGCCGUUGUUGCUGCUUGCAUCGGUUAUAAAUUUGGAGUUGAUGGGAAUCCUGGAGAGUUGCCUGUUGAUGCUUAAAUCUGCUCGCCUUUAGACCGACCAGAUUCUUUCACCAACGUUUGUGUUAUCUACUGUUGCUCGUUCACUGGGAUUGGAAUCGUCCUUCUUUCUCACAAUAGACCUGCGCUCACCAAAAACGGAUCAGAGACGCCGGUGGUUUUGCCGGCGUAAACCCUCCGAUGCUUAAGUUAGCUCAAGGUGUUUACGGGAAAACAGUGCAAUUUAGAUCUCAAAAUGGUUUCUAAAUUAUUCGGAGUUUAUAAGAAAAUAGCCUGAUUUCAAUUUGGCAGCGUUUCCCCUCUCUCAAUUUUUCCAUCCCCUUCUUCAUCGAUUUCUUCUUCUUUUAUAGCCGAUGUCCCCACGUUCCCGCUUGCCCUUCAUCCCACCUUUUUUGGGUAGUGGUAGCCUCUCAUGGGGCUCUAACUGCUGCAUUAUGGGCAAACGUGGGAUCUCGCGUCUCCCGCAACGGUUCUGGGAAAGCACAACUACCGUGAUUCUGUGAGAUCGUGUUUCCGCUUUUCGGGGGACGGGUACCGGCUCGGUAUGUGGCUCUGGUCAGUAUUCGUCUCUGAUCGACUCAUGUUACCCCUGUUCUGCUCGUACCAUUUGGCUGAGGUGAUUCAUGCCGGGGUGGAAGUAGUAUCCUGGCCGACCUGGUGCUUUUAUUUGCUUAACACCAGUCCCCCAGUUUCUGGUCUUGUGAGUGAAAUGAGUCAAGAGUAGAAACUGAUAGUCGACUCUUACCAAUCCGGGGGUUUCUCCUCUGGUCUUCUGUCUACCGGGACGAACCUGAGCAAUUCAUUUUUCUUCGGGUGAGAUUUUGAUCUGGGCGUGGGCCUAAAUGAGCAUGUCCACUGCGCACCUGGGCUUGCAUCUAGCCCGGCCUCUUGUAACGGUUGGUGACAUGGCAUCUCCCGAUUCUUCGCAUUUGAAAUUUGAAACGACGGGCUAUCUGUCCUCGAUGUACGGUGAGUGAGCUGGCGUCCCCAUCACUUAAAUGCUUCCAUUUCCCCCCUUUUCGUUUUAAAUCCCUAGACUGGAGUCUUCACCAUCUUGUUACUCGUUUCUCCACCGUUAACCAAAUUUUCUCUGGACUUUGCUCACACUUCCAGCGUCCGGAGUAUCCAUUUGCUGGGUGUUUUCUCUGUCGCGGCGGCUCUAUCAGUGUCAGUCUAUUCCAGGUAUAGCCUUUAACAUUUUCUUCGGCUGUUGUUGAUUGGGUUCUGUGUUGCCCCUUUGUGUCCAUAUACUCGAGUUUUCUCUGUCUUCUUUUGGGAUUCCGGUAUGUCAAAUCGGAAGAGGAAGUUAAUUGUUGAUGAGGGUGAUGACGAAUCAGGGGAUUCAGGCCUCAACGUGCCAAUACCCACCGAUUUUUUAGGUCCCUCCAGUAGUGUAGGUCCUCCUCAUGGUAGGGAUACCCUUGAGUACCCACGCCCCCUGGUUGUCUCUCCCUCUCCCGAAUUAAAGCUUGUAGGAAAUAGGGGUGGACCUGCGUCGGGCUCUGGUGAGAACCACAGCUUUGGUGGGGUUGGGAUCCCUGAAGGAGUUGGUGAUGGUAAGGGGAGCAGUUCCGGACCGAGCAGACCUGCUCAGAAAAGGAACCUAGGCCAUAGGGUGGAGGCUGAUUCCUACCCUAUUGAUUUCAUGGCUUGUGCCACCACCCCCACCGAUCUAUUUAAACUUAGGAAUCUCUACAACAUCCCCAACGAGGUUCUUCUUGUAGUUCCUGGAAAAGGUGAUGUCCCUAGUCGGCCUCCGAAAUGGUAUGUGACGAUGCACUUGGAGAGUUUCAGACUAGGAGCUCGGCUACCCCUUCAACCUUACUUUGCCAAGAUACUGGGCGGUAUGCACCUGGCCCCAGGUCAGCUAUACCCAAAUGGGUGGAGGGUUCUCUCGGCAAUGUUUGUGUUGUGGGAGAGGUGCGGGUCGGAGGAGCCUUCUCUUGUUGAAGUGAAACAUCUGUACCAGCUGCGGAGUAGCCCGAAGGAGGCAGGCUGGUACUAUUUCAUGUCCAGUUCCGCAAAGAGGAAACCGAUCACUGGGUUUCCAUCUUCAUGUAAAAAUUGGAAGAACAAAUUCUUCUUUGCUGGAGGGAACUGGUGUCCAGCGGUUCAGUCGCUUGGUGGGGACAUUUAUCUUCCCACCCAUUUUGUCACUCCAGGUCGUUCAUUUUUGCCUAUAUUCUUUCUCAAAUUGCCACUCAUUGGGUUCUUUAACCUUGUUUGUUUUUUCAGAAUCGUGGGGUUUGGUGAAGGAUCUUGAAGACCGACCUUUGCUUCAGGUGGAAACUGCUCUGUUGAACGCGUCUACUUGCCAAGACCUCCUGUCGCCAACAAACUUGGUCGGUUCCCGCUUAGUAGAUAUUGCCACUGGAAUGGAUAACAAGAUCCUCAGCGCGUUGAGCAGAAAGCGUGGUCGGGCUCCGAGUAGCUCCAGCAACCCUCCUCCUCCUCCAAAGAAACCCAUCGUCGGUCCUUCCAAGGCGCCAGUUCCUGCUCUGCCCCCUCCUCCACCUCGAAAGAGUGGUGGGGAUAAAACCUCCGACAAGAGUCCUGAGGUCAGCUUGCAGUCUGGGGACCGCUCUUCUCCUCUUCCAUCUCGGGAUCAAGGUGACUACCUGAGCCCAUAUCAGAAGGAUUACAGAAAAUCGGUUGGGCCCAAGAUGGUGAAGGACAUCGAGAGCAUGAGCCUCUCCGAGUUAGCUGUUUCUGUUCAAAGAGUCUCCUUCAGGCUGGCCACAAUGGUCUCGUGCUACAAGACCGGGUCCGCGCGUCAUGAGAGGAAGCUCCAAGCUGAUAACCAGGAGUUGAAAAAGAAAGUCGAAUCUGCUGACCGUUCCAAGGAGAAACUGGCCGAGCUGAACAAGCAGCUUACGGAGCUUGAGGAGAAAGUUGCUGUUGCUGAGUCCACUUCCUCCAAGCUUGAGGAUGAGUUGGGUGAUCUGAAGUCCGAUCUUCAGGCUACCCAAAGUGAAAGGGAUACUCUGAGGGUCGCCCUUGAAGGAGAGAUCAAAUCCCUGAAGGACCAGCUGGCUGAGGAGAAAAGCAAAUCAGCUGACGUGGAUGAUCGGCUGGAUGCCGAGUAUGACUCCGGGGUUGCUUUCAGCUAUAAGUGCAUCAUGUCUGUGCUUAAGGAAGAAUAUCACGAGCUCGACAUGAGCAAGCUGGAAUCUGGGGUGGAGAGGUAUAUGGCUGGGGCCGGCUAGGGAGAUAAGGAGCAGGUGGAGGUUCCUUUUGAUGAGGUGCGGGAGGAAGGAGCUGGUCAGUGUGUUUUUGAAGUGGGACAAGGGUACGCGCCUCCUCCUCCCGUUAUUGCUGAUCUUCCACCUCCCGAGAUAGCCGACGCUUCUCCUGCUGAGGCCGUUGACCUUCCUAAUCCUUAGGUCUAUUUUUGUAAAAAACUCUAGAUUGUUAUUCGCUUUGUAAACAUUUGAACAUUUAUAAAUUUUUAAAUGCUCUCAAUUGGCUUUCUUGUCUGGUUUUGCUCACGGGUUGCUUCUGCAAAACAACUUGGCAAUUUAUCUGAUUUUGCCUGUUGGUUUUUUAGUGCAUUGAGCAGGAAUAGGCAUCCGUUUGCCUUAGCGAAAUUUUCGCAAAAUUGCCUGCUGGUCUUCGAUGACCGAGCAGGAGCGGACACUUAUUUGCCUUAGUAGAAUUGUCGUAAAUUUAGCUGCUGUUUUUCGUUGACCGAGCAGAGGUAGGCACUUAGUCGAAUUUUCGUAGCUUUAGCUGCUGGUCUUUCGUUGACCGAGCAGAAGAAGGCACUGAUUUGCCUUUGUAGAAUUUCCGUAGCUUUAGCUGCUGGUCUUUCGUUGACCGAGUAGAAGUAGGCACUUGCCUUAAUCGAAUUUUCGUAGCUUUAGCUGCUGGUCUUUCAUUGACCGAGCAGAAGUAGGCACUGAUUUGCCUUUGUAGAAUUUCCGUAGCUUUAGCUGCUGGUCUUUCGUUGACCGAGCAGAAGUAGGCACUUGCCUUAGUCGAAUUUUCGUAGCUUUAGCUGCUGGUCUUUCGUUGACCGAGCAGAAAUAGGCACUUUGUUGCCUUAGUAGAAUUGUCGAAGCUUUAGCUGCUGGUCUUUCGGUGACCGAGCAGAAACAGGCACUUUAUUGCCUUAGUAGGAUUUUUUGCAGAAUUAGCUGCUGGUCUUUAGUGGACCGAGCAGAAGUUGGCACUUACUUGCCUUAGUAGAAUCUUCGUAGGUUUAGCUGCUGGUCUUUCGUUGACCGAGCAGAAGUAGGCACUUACUUGCCUUAGUAGAAACUUCGUAAAUUUAGCUGCUGGUCUUUCGUUGACCGAGCAGAAGUAGGCACUUGCCUAGGUAAAACUUUUAUUGAUUAGACUAGCAGGGGGAUUUCAUGCUGAAUUCAUCUUUAUUUGAAAUUUGAAAGCAUUACAAGAAUACUGGAUACAUACAUGUGCAGCAAAGCCAUGAUGCAGUUAACAUUGAUAUCUUGUCAAAAUGGAGAUUUAGUAGAGCACUUUGCUUACUGGAAAUACUUCUUCAAGUGUUCGGCGUUCCAUGACCUCUUCACUUCUCGUCCAUCUUGGUGUGCUAAUUUAUAGGCUCCUGGUCCAGUGGCUCGUAUCACCCGGUACGGGCCUUCCCACUUUGGGCCAAGAGCGCCAUGAUUAGGAUCCCUGGUGUUCUGGUUCACCUUCCUAAGUACCCAAUCUCCUGCUCGGAACUGCCUCACGCGCACGUUCUUGUUGUAAUAACGCAUGACCCUUUGUUGGCACUGGGCCACUUUCUGCACUGCCCCUUCCCUUUUCUCCUCCAGCAGGUCCAGACUUAAGCAAAUCUGCUCGUCAUUUUGCUCCUUAGUGAAAUAUUCCGUCCGAUGUGUUCUCACUCCAACCUCUGCUGGGAUUACCGCCUCAUGACCAAAGGCUAAAGCGAACAGUGUUUCUCCUGUGGUGGUUUUGUGAGUUGUCCUGUAGGCCCACAGUACUCCUGGUAGCUCGUCAACCUAAGCUCCCUUCUUCUCUCCCAAUCUAGUCUUUAGGAGCUUCUUUAUCACCUUGUUGGCUGCUUCCACUUGUCCGUUUGCCUGGGGGUGUGCGGGGGUGCAGAACUUCAGGUCCACCCCCAGGUUUCGGCAAAAUUCCCUGAAGUUGCCGUUGUCAAAUUGCCUCCCAUUGUCCGUGAUGAUGGCGUAGGGGAUCCCAUAUUUGCAGAUGAUAUUCUUCCAAAUAAAAUCUGUUGUCUUCCUCUCCGUGAUCUGGCUGAGGACUCCUACUUCCACCCACUUGGUGAAGUAGUCUAUUGCCACAAUUGCAUGUGUCGCCGCUCCUCGUCCCUUAGGCAAUGGACCAAUCAAGUCGAUUCCCCAUUGAGCGAAAGGCCAUGGGGAUGUCAUAGCCGUCAGCUUUUCCGGGGGUUGUGCAGGAACCUCGGAGAAGCUUUGGCAUGUUUUACAAUUCUUUGCCAUCCUUUUGGCAUCCUGGUGCAUGGUUGGCCAGAAGUAUCCUUGCCGGAGUGCCUUGAAGGCUAAAGUUCUUGCUCCCGAGCGAUUGCCGCAUAUUCCCUCGUGAAUCUCUCUCAGCACAUAAUCCGCCUCCUCAUCAUCCAAACAUCUCAAAAGGGGCAAGGUGAACCCUCGGCGGUACAGCACUCCAUCCAGUAGCGUAUACCUUGCUGCUCGGCAUUUUAAUUUUCUUGCUUGCCUUUUGUCCUAUGGUAAAACUCCAUCGCGGACAUAUGCGCGAAUCGGGUCCAUCCAGGAUUCUCCAGUACUUACUCUCAUCACCUCUGCUUCUUCCUCAAUACUUGGUGAGGUCCUUACCUCUAGUGGAACUGACUUCGGUAACUUUGGAUCUGCAAUGGCUGCCAUCCUAGCCAGCAUAUCUGCUCGGAAAUUCUCAUUCCGGGAUAUCUGCUUUACCUCCACUGCUUGGAAAAGCCCAACCAUCUGCUUCGCCUUCUUUAAAUAAAGACCCAUCUUCUCUCCCCUUGCUUGGAACUGAUCAUUGAGCUGAUUACACACCAGUUGGGAAUCUGCUCGAAUUUCUACCCUCUCUGCUCUUAGAGCGUGUGCAAGUCCGAGCCCGGUGAUAAAGGCCUCAUAUUCAGCUUGGUUGUUUGUGAGCUGAAAGUCAAACUUCACUGCAUACGUUAUUUCGGUUCCUUCUAGGCUCUGUAUUACAACUCCUGCUCCGGAUCCUUGCUCACUACAUGAUCCGUCAACCAUUACCAACCACAACCCCUCUGGUUUCUCCUGCUCUGCUGCUUGCUCCUCCCGAAUUUCUUUCCCUGUAUCGGCUCGGUCAACCAUAAAUUCAGCCAGAGCUUGGGCCUUGAUUGCUCCUCGGGGCCUGUAAGAGAGGUCGAAUUCACUUAGCUCUACGGACCAUUUUACUAGUCGACCCGAUGCAUCUGGUUUUUGAAGUGUUUGCCGAAGGGGCUGGUCGGUCAUAACAAUAACCUGAUGGGCCUGAAAAUAUGGUCGAAGUUUUCGUGCUGCCGUUAUUAGAGCUAGCGCCCACUUCUCCANNNNNNNNNNNNNNNNNNNNNNNNNNNNNNNNNNNNNNNNNNNNNNNNNNNNNNNNNNNNNNNNNNNNNNNNNNNNNNNNNNNNNNNNNNNNNNNNNNNNNNNNNNNNNNNNNNNNNNNNNNNNNNNNNNNNNNNNNNNNNNNNNNNNNNNNNNNNNNNNNNNNNNNNNNNNNNNNNNNNNNNNNNNNNNNNNNNNNNNNNNNNNNNNNNNNNNNNNNNNNNNNNNNNNNNNNNNNNNNNNNNNNNNNNNNNNNNNNNNNNNNNNNNNNNNNNNNNNNNNNNNNNNNNNNNNNNNNNNNNNNNNNNNNNNNNNNNNNNNNNNNNNNNNNNNNNNNNNNNNNNNNNNNNNNNNNNNNNNNNNNNNNNNNNNNNNNNNNNNNNNNNNNNNNNNNNNNNNNNNNNNNNNNNNNNNNNNNNNNNNNNNNNNNNNNNNNNNNNNNNNNNNNNNNNNNNNNNNNNNNNNNNNNNNNNNNNNNNNNNNNNNNNNNNNNNNNNNNNNNNNNNNNAGAUGCUUCACAUGAUCCGUCGUCUCUUUGGACUUUGUAAUCAUAUCAUCCACAUAUACCUCCAUAGUGUAUCCAAUCAACGGUUUGAAGAUCUUGUUUACCAACCUUUGAUAGGUGGCUCCUGCAUUUUUUAGGCCGAAAGGCAUUACCCUGUAACAAAACAAACCCAUGUUAGUUAUAAAGGCAGUGCUUUCCUCAUCCUGCUCGUCCAUGGGUAUCUGGUUGUAUCCAGAAAAGGCAUCCAUGAAACUGAGCAGACUGUGACCUGCUGUUGAGUCCACCAGCUGAUCUAUUUUGGGUAGGGGAAAACUGUCCUUUGGGCAUGCCUUAUUGAGGUCCGUGAAGUCCACACACAUUCUCCACUUCCCGUUGGCCUUUUUUACCAGGACUACAUUUGAAAUCCAUUCUGGGUACUUGGCUUCCCUUAUAAAUCCUGCUUUCAACAACUUCUCCACCUCGGCGUUUAUGGCCUCGUACCUUUCCUGGUUGCAGCAUCUCCUCUUCUGUCUCACCGGCCUUGCCCCCUUCUUGAUUGCCAACUUGUGGCAAGCUACCCCGCGAUCAAUUCCGGGCAUAUCUUCAUGAGACCAGGCGAAUAUAUCCGCAUGAGACUGUAGGCAAUUUACCAGCUCGCCUUUUACUGCCCCAAUCAAUCCUGACCCGAUCUUCACUACUCUGCUCGGGUUGCUUUUGCUUAUCGCAACUUCCUCCAGUUUCUCAACAGGCUCUUGGCGGCCCUUUUUAGACUCUCCUCGAUUAUCUAGAGAAGUAACCUGUAGUGUCUCCUUGGCCGCCGUAGCUUAACAACUCCUUGCCACCCUCUGGUCGCCUUUUACUACGCCAACCACCCCAUUUAUUCUGUAUUUCAGCGCCAAGUAAUGCGUGGAUACAACGCAUUGGCUUAUCCUCAUGAAUGGUCUCCCCAGUAUCAUCUGGUAAGGGCUUCUUUCCUCUACCACGACGAAGUCCAGCAUCAUCGUUCUUUCAAACGGCUUUGUCCCCACAAUAAUCGGGAGUUCAAUGAUCCCCAAGGGAGUUAACUGUCCCCCUCCAAAUCCUUUUAAGGAAGUAUUUGUCCGUUCCAGCUUUAAAUCUGAAAUCCCCAUAUCAUCUAGGGCUGACUUAAAUAGAAUGUCAACUGAACUGCCCGUGUCCACCAGUAUUCGCCGCAAUUCUGUGCUAGCCACCGAUGCUUUAAUUACUAGUGCAUCCUCAUGAGGAUAUAAAAUACCCUCUUCAUCCUCAUCUGUCCACAUAAUGGGAACUUGUCGCGCUUUUGCCUUCUUGGUUGCUGGCAAAUUGAAAAGCACUUCUUUGCUAGUCAGGGCGUAUCUCCCAUAGUUCUUCCGUGCCCUGUUCGAAUCUCCGGCCAAUGUUGGUCCUCCUGCUAUCACACGGAUAGUCGGCUGUUCACGUUCCAGAUCCCUCUCAACUCCCUCAUCCCGUGUGUACUGUGAUUCCAUGACAGGGGAUAUUCCAUCUACAUACUCGUCCAAGUAUCGGUUCCUCACUAAAUCCUCCACCUGAAUCUUCAGGUCACGACAUUGGCUGAUAGUGUGACCGUGAGUGUCGUGGAACUUGCAUAAUCGGCUCUUAUCCCGUCGGUGAGUCGGUUUUAUUAUUGGGGCUGGAGGGUACAACAGGCCUCGUCCCUCGAUCCUCUCAUACAAUUCCUCCAUGGAGAUCUUUAGCGGAGUGUAUUGUCUAUAUGCCAAGCUCUGGUCUACCAGCUGAACUGCUCGGCUAUCAUGAACGUCACCUCGGGAUGGCAUAGUCGCUGACUGAUCUGGUCGUCUAGCCCUGGAACUGGUUACGUGUAAUGCUCUGGGAGUGUUAUGAUAGCGGUCGGCAGCCAUCUGCCGGAAUUCUCGCUGCCGAUCCGGGAAUGGGGGACGUGGAGGUUGAGCCCGGUUGUGCUGGAACUGUUGUGAUCUCGGAGUUAUGGGGUAAGGGCGGGAUCGAGCUGAUGUUCCGCCCCUUACUGAGGGUUCCCCAGCUCGCUUUCCCGACCCGCUCCCAUUUGGAGUUCUCAUUUCCUUUCGUCUCAGCUCCUCCAGCUAUUCACUCUUUAUCUUUGCCGAUUUUUCUUCUUCGAUUUCGAUAUCUCUCUUUGCCUGCUCAUAUCCUGCUGAAUAAUUCUGCACCAGGGGGCUUCUCAGGUUAUACCAUAGCCGGCCUAUCCUCACACCCUCCUUUAAACCCCUCAACACCUGCGGGUGAUUGAAAGCUCCCAAAUCAAGUACGGCUCGGUGGUAUCGCUUUACAAAAUCCCGUAGGGACUCGUGCUCCUCCUGUUUCAUCCCCAUCAGUUCCAUCAUGUCGUCCUCUAGGGCUACUGCCCCUCGGAACUGCUCGGCCAACUCCUGGCACAUCUGCUCAUACCCCUUUAUACUUCCUCCGGGCAGCUUGCGGUACCAUUCUCGAGCUCGUCCCUCUAGUGUCAACGGGAACGCCCUGCAUCUCUGAGCUGAUGUCAGCCCCUGCACACCCGUCAUAUCGUUGAAACGCUCAAUGUACACCAGUUGGUCACUUCGCCCGGAGUAUUUGAGGUUGGGGAAGCGGAAAUCUCUUGGGAUUAUGAUACCCAUGAUCUCGAUUGAUAACAGAGAUUCUUCAUCUAACAUUAUCCUCCAGCUCGGGGGCUUUCUCUUGCCUUGUAUCUCCUCUAUCACCUGCGCCAACCUGCGCACCUCCCCCUCCAAUUCUAUAGCACGGCUAGGAUCACGCGCAGCUAUCUGGUCUCGCUUCUGCUCAGCGUUCUGCAACCGCUGUCUGAGCUCUCCUUCAUCAACACUGGCACCUCGGCCAGUAGUUUCCAGUACCCAUCCGGGGCGAGUUUGGUCUCUCCCUUCAUCCCCGUGUUCUCCUGGGACCCGGCCAGUACUUCUGUGGGGAUGCACCCCAUUAGGUUGGUCUGCGGGCGGAGGAAUGUCCUCGACUCUACGUCUCCGGAGGCUGGGUUCUGCUCCGACUUCAUCUCUUCCCACGGGGGUUUCACAAUCCCUUCUCCGCUCAUCCCUCAGCUCAAACAAUAUGGACGUGAGAGUCUCCAUUUGUUUCUCCAUCCGCUCCAGUCUGUCUUGCAUCAUCCUCUCUCGGGCUUCAUUCGCAAUUUCCCGGAGAGUGAUUGUCUCCCCAGCCUCGUUAUCCUCCCCAAAAGCGUCCUUUCUCGUCACAUCCAUGUCCAACCGUUCGCUAUUUCUCCGGUACUUCCUAAUUCGGUGGUAGCUUUUUAUCCAGCUCCCCACAGACGGCGCCAAAAUGUUGAUGCUUAAAUCUGCUCGCCUUUAGACCGACCAGAUUCUUUCACCAACGUUUGUGUUAUCUACUGUUGCUCGUUCACUGGGAUUGGAAUCGUCCUUCUUUCUCACAAUAGACCUGCGCUCACCAAAAACGGAUCAGAGACGCCGGUGGUUUUGCCGGCGUAAACCCUCCGAUGCUUAAGUUAGCUCAAGGUGUUUACGGGAAAACAGUGCAAUUUAGAUCUCAAAAUGGUUUCUAAAUUAUUCGGAGUUUAUAAGAAAAUAGCCUGGUUUCAAUUUGGCAGCGUUUCCCCUCUCUCAAUUUUUCCAUCCCCUUCUUCAUCGAUUUCUUCUUCUUUUAUAGCCGAUGUCCCCACGUUCCCGCUUGCCCUUCAUCCCACCUUUUUCGGGUAGUGGUAGCCUCUCAUGGGGCUCUAACUGCUGCAUUAUGGGCAAACGUGGGAUCUCGCGUCUCCCGCAACGGUUCUGGGAAAGCACAACUACCGUGAUUCUGUGAGAUCGUGUUUCCGCUUUUCGGGGGACGGGUACCGGCUCGGUAUGUGGCUCUGGUCAGUAUUCGUCUCUGAUCGACUCAUGUUACCCCUGUUCUGCUCGUACCAUUUGGCUGAGGUGAUUCAUGCCGGGGUGGAAGUAGUAUCCUGGCCGACCUGGUGCUUUUAUUUGCUUAACAUUGCCCAAGUGGUAUGCCUUUGUGGUCGUAAUUUUCAUUUGCAUAUACGUUGCCGCGUUUGCCUGGUCUUGGGGUCCUCUUGGAUGGUUAGUGCGCAGUGAAAUUUUCCCACUCGAAAUCCGGUCAGCAGCACAAAGCGUGAAUGUUUCUGUGAACAUGGCAUUCACAUUUUUGGUUGCACAAGUAUUCUUAAACAUGCUUUGCCAUCUCAAGUUUGGCCUGUUCAUUUUCUUCGCAUUCUUCGUCGUGCUGAUGACCAUUUUUAUCCACUUCUUCUUGCCCGAGACUAAAGGAAUUCCAAUCGAAGAAAUGGGUCAAGUGUGGAAGAAUCAUUGGUUCUGGUCCCGUUAUGUUGGCCAAGAUGAUUUCCUCGCCAAUGGAGGCCUAGAGAUGCACAAAGAAGAAACUGAUGUCAACAAUGUCUGAUCUGCAUGCUCAACUCCAUCCGGAUUUUUGUUUAGUUUCUAUUUUUAUUUUUUAUAUUUUUUAACAGUAAGUAGUAGUAGUACAGUUAUUCUGUCGGUUUAUUAUUCUAGCCUUAUCAAUGCCUUUUCUAUUCGACUUUAGUAGUGUUUAUUACAAUUUCUAAAGAAAUUAAUUUCAUGUAAGUUUUUACUUUAAUCAUUUUCCUUGUUUGGGUUCUCUGUUUUUCCUUUUUUUUUUUUUUUUUCAUCAGAAAUCGUCACUCUUACAAUUUGGACCAAGAAAUUCUUCACACAGGAAUCUGAAGAAAAAUUAACAAGGAUUGAAAAUUUUGACUUAUUGUUUAUCUUUUUUUUUUCUUUUCUCUUUUCCGUCUUCUCUUCUCAUUAAACAGACAUUAAGGCAAAAUUAAUAAAUUAUUUUAUUAUUGGUCUUAUCGUGAGUAGAAAAUCAUUGGUGCAAAUUCAAUUAUUUAGAUCAACAGAAAUUUUGGGAUAUGAAUCAAUGAGAAAAUUUUAAGUAUUCCUAAAAUAUUAUUCCUAUUUUAUCGUGAGUAGAAUAUGACCACCUUAUAUUAACUCAAGCUUUUUAUUUAAAAUUUUAACAUAAAUUCUCAUCUAUAAACUUUGUGGCAAAAUCUUAAGUUGAAAUAGGGAGAAAAAAAUCUAAAGAAUGUAUAAAAUUUGUAGAAAGAAAAGCCGCACGUGAGAUAUGUCAAAAUCAAAAUUCAUCAAUACAUCAAAUUUCAUAUACAUGGCAACUUAAACUCGCACAGUUCAAUGUCAAAAUUUAACUUUUAUCAAAAAGUAACGUUGCAUCCUCAUUUUACCUUUAACUCUAAGAGGUGUUGCAAUGGCCAAAGUAGCCAGUCAAUCUUUCUUUUGACGUUAUUUAAUCAUUCUGUACAGCAGAACACCCAUCAACUACUCUCAUCCUGGCCAUAGCUGCCUGCAUUGAGGAGUUGCUAAAGUUUAACAAUGAAAAAUAAAGCAACGAAAAAAUAAAUUUAACUUGAAUUAAUCAAGAACCUGUUUUUUCCAGUUUGUGAAAGUUGUAGCAAGAGAAAGAAGGGUGGACUGCACAACAGAGCCAGCCACUAUUCCGAUCCAAAGUCCCUUUCCUCUUAAAUGUGCUACAAAACCCAACACGGCACCCACUGGCAACCCAACUAAAUAAAAUGCCCCAAGGUUUAUGUACACCCUAUAUGCUGCCAUCCACACCCUUUCGCAACCCCUAUUGCAAACGUAGAAUCCACCUUUAUUAAGAAAUGAAAAUUUGAACCGCAUUUGAAUCCCAGAUGUUUUGUGGUUUGUGUAUUCAAGAGAUAAUUACCAACUGAUCUAGUCAACACCAACCUCUUGGAUGUAUACUUUAUAUGUGUGUGUCUAUAUAUAUAUAUAUAUAUAUAUAUAUAUAUAGCAUGUAUCUAUUUAACUAUUACGACAUUUACCAAAUGAUAUAUAAGUCAACAGUGACUCUUCAGUCUCCCAUAUUAUUAUCCAACAAAGACUUUAAUUGAAAGAAGUGUAAUUAGAAAGCAACUACUAACCAGAAAAAACAGCUUGUAAGCUGUCUGUAAUAACUGAGAGACAAAUCAGAGGAGCCAUAACAACAACAUAAUGCACAACUUGGUUGUCUUUGGUGUAAGCGUAACCCAAAAAAUAGCGGCAGCAGAAGAGGAUCGUGCCGACUAUCACUGCCUCUACCACAGCAUAACUUGUUGCAGCCCAUACAGCCACUCUAGCUGCUUGCAGAUUCCCAGCUCCAAGCUCAUUUGAAACUCGAGUACUAUACAUGACAUAUAUAUUAACAUGCACAUAGUCAAAUGCUAGCCUGCUCCAUUUGUAUUAUUUUAAAAAAAAUGCAAAUCACAGGGAGCAACCAAAAGCAAGAAAAAAAAAAGACCUUGCAGCUACUCCAAAAGCAUAUGGUAUUGUGAAGUGCAAUGUUGAAAUUGUAAGGCUGAUCAUAAAACAACAACGAUUAGAAGCAUAUACAGUUUAAUUCUAGGACAAUUUAUAAGUCAAAAUUAAAUAGUUAUAACUAAAAUAGGAGCUAAUUACCAAAUUGAAAGUACUGAAGUCUCCAGCUUGGGAUUCGGUAAAAGGCCGGAUAACAAAAUUAAGAUCUCCAUCGACCACCAUUUUAGACUAAUUAAUCACCAUAAUCGAUCACAAUAAGAGAGAGACUUUUGAGAUUAAAAGAGAAGAAACAACACAAAAAGCAAAAUUACCAUUCUAAGAGAUAAGAGGAAUAAUUACCAAACCAUUAUGGCAGAAGGUAUAGCCAAGCGAAAGAACUGUCCAAUGGCUAGUAAAGAUUCUUUAGAAACCGGCGCGCGAGUUUUCUCACAAGCUGAGGAGUACAUCAUGUACAAUCCGAGCAGUAUCACAUUCAACCAAGUUGAUAGACUGAAGGCUAGAGCUGCACCCAUGCUUCCUAAUUCUAGUUUGAACACAAGAGUCCAGCACGCAGGUAUAUGAAAACAUAGAAUUAGAAAAGAACUUGCAAACAUGGGAAGAAUCAAGCUCUGAGUCUGAAAGUAUCGGGUUAGUGGUUUCAGGAUUGCACUCCCGAAUAAUGCAGGGAUUAGCCACAUUGAAUACUUGCGUGCUUCGUGGGAGAUUACAGGAUCUUGGCCUAUUAGAGGUAACAAUUUGUCCAUAAAAAUCCACAACAGGCAAACUAGAGGGCAAACAAGAAUCAACGAAAUUAUGGCAGUGUAAGUAUGAACUCCAAGCUUCCGAAAUUGUGCUGCUCCAUAAGCUUGCCCACAUAGAGUUUCCAAUCCACCAGCCAUUCCUGACUGCUUGGCAAGUCCAAAUUAAAUUCAAUCAUUAAUCAUCAAAAUUAUCUCUAGGAUUAAUUAAACCUGAAGAUGAAGGUAAUGUGAGUAGAGAGCAGCAAACUUACUAGAAGACUAAAGCCGGUAACAUUUGUGAGAGAGGUGGCAAUGGCUACACUAGACAGGGCAAGCUGGCUUAGAUGUCCCACCAUUACCGUUGACACAACUUGCAGAAGGUACUGCAACACAGAGACUGCCACCAUUGGUGCCGCGAUACGGCCAGUCUUCUUCAGCUCUUCCAUAAAUCCACCCCAUGUAAUUGCCCAUCUCUUCUCCUGGCUCUCUCCAACUUCCAUAUCCAUGCAAAAUUGAUAAAUGAUAAUAAUGAUGGUAUCUUAGUUUGCUUUGCCACUAUUAAUAAAAAGAGCCAAUCCAAAGAAACACGAAGUUUGUAUGCUGUCCUCUGUUUUGGCUUUACUUGAGAAUUCAAUAUUAACGAUUUUAUGUUUUGACUGUUCAAAAGAGCAUGCCGAGAGGUUCAAAUUAGUGGACUCUAAUUCCCAACUUUCUGUUGUUUAUAAUCAUUAUUAUACAUUCCCCACGAGCACGGCACAGACAUGAGUAAUGCGGCAAGGGUGCGUUUCGCACACUGCAUUGUAUUAUGUUGUAUUGCAUUAUUUUAAUAUUGGUGUAUUAUAUUAUGCUGUAUUGUAUUAGCAUUGUAUUAUAAUAAUGUUAUAUAAUGUUUGGUGUUAUACUGUACUGUAUUAUUUUUUUAAUUAAUUUAAAUUAAAUAUUAUAUUAUAUUAAUGUUUUAUAUUAUAUUAAUAUAUUUAAAUUGCAUUAAUAUUUUAUGUUAUUAUUUAUAUUAUUAUUAAUUUUAAAUUAAUAUUAUUCAAAUUUAUUCAUAUUUAAAUAUUUUUAUUAGUUAUAAUAAGUUAUAAAUUUAUUAAUAAAUUAUAAUGUAAAAAUAAAAAAUAUACUAUUAUUGAAUGAUAAAUUAUUAAUUUAUUAAUUAUAUUAAUAAUUAUAAUGUAAAAAUAAAUAAAAUAAAAAUAUUAUAUUAAAUUAAAAACCAUAUUUAUUUAUUAUUUUAAUAUUAUAAUAAUAAUAAAGUGAAAAGCAAAAUAAAAUUAAAAAAAAAAAAACAAAGCUAAUGCGUCAGUUGACGCAUUAGCCUCCCACCCCAAUCCCUUGCAAUUUUAUUCCAAACAUAGGUUUGGUAUUAUGUUAAUGUAAACAGUAUUAUAAUAUCCCCUUAAUACUAUAAUCAAACACACCCUAAGAUAAUUGCUGGUGUUUAAUCGGUCAGAUUUUUCAUCUUUUCUCGAUCUUUUGAAAAAUCAUAAUAAUGAUUAUAAUAGAUCCCCAGACACGUAGAUGGGAUUGAGAUUUUGUCUGAUAUGGCUUGAUUUGAAGUAUUUUUUUAUAUCUGCAAUUCUGCAUAUAGUAAGUACAAUCAUAUCUUCUGAGUGAUAGACUUCAUUUUUGGCCGUUCUGAACAAAAACUAUGUUCAAUGACAGUACUGAACUCUAAAUUUCAGUGGAAUAUAAUAAAGGAGAGGAAUAAAAAAGCAUAUUGCAAAUUGGAUGUACUCUCUCACAUCUGAAUCAUUUAAUAAUUGCUUUUGGAAGCACAUUUUUGACUAGUUACUACAUAAUAUCAGCUUAGAAGAAACAGAUGCGAUUCCCCUAGUGGCUUUCAAAUUGCAAUCAGUUGUACGCGAGCGAUUCCUUAACAGAUGAGAAGAAAGAAAAAUGGCAAAAAAGGAAAAAAAACAAUUCUGAUGUUUUCAGGAGUCAGUAGAUGCUGUUGAAAUACAUAUUUUUCACUGUCCUCCCCUUAACUAUGUUAGACUUUAUGUCUAAAUUCGCACUUGUCUCCCAAGAUUUUGAUGGACUGUUAACAUGGAUGACUAAAUGAAUAAAAAUACAUAGACGCCCCUGAUUUGAAGCAAAAUCACCAUGCCAGGAAACAAAACAGCUCGUGUAUAAAGAGAUGACAGUGUUAAUUUCGACAAAAAGAAACUGUGGGUUGGACAAAAUCCAUGAGAGGAUAGUGAAAAAUAUAUAUUUUGAUAUAAUGUAUAUAGUAUAUCAUUUCAAAACUCAAAAGUCGUUUCGUUCUUUAAAAAAAUUCCACUGCUUUAAAAUUAAAAAUCACAUUUAUAAUUAAUUUUUUUAUCAAGUUCUAAAUCCUUUUAUUUUGUCAACAUCCUAAAAUUAUAAUAAGAAUUAACUAUGCUUUGAUUGAUAAAACUAAUGGGGAUUUCGUUCUUAUUUGAUAAAAUCAAUAGUCAUUUCGUUCUUAUUUAAUGUGUUUCCAACUUGUGAGCAAUGGGAGGUAGAAAGCAAACUUGUCCACUUUCAAUUCCCAAACUCAUAAGAAUCAGACCUUUUUUUUUUCAAAUGAUCAAAUAAAUACAAUUGGCUACUUUGACAGACAGGAACAAUACAAGUGUCUUAACAUGUCGAUCAAAUGGCCAAAAGUAAGACGCAAUCCCUAAGUCUAACUUACAAUUGCUAAAAAUAACGUAAAAAUGGACCAGUAUCAUCAUUUUACCUCGUCUUUAAUGGUUGUCAGUUACACUAAAUAUAUUUUAAGGAGACAAUAAUAAUAAUAAUAAUAAUAAUAACAAUUUGAGUAGAAAUUAUCACGAACAUAUUCCUGCAUAUCUUAACAUCUUCAAAGAUAUGUGACUUAUUGAUGUGACGCUCCAUUUUAUCAAACAGUUGCAUCAGAAAAUUCUGAAGGGACUACAAAUGCCUUUUGAUGCAUAGAAGAUUUACAUUACUGACAAACCAAGGACAAAGCAGAAAGAAGCAAGUUUCGAUUUGUUUCUCAGCCAAAAAUCAAGUUCUUCCAUUAUCUUCUGUCUACUUCUUCCCCUAUUAACUCCAAUUUUUGCUCAGACCCUUGGUUUUGGAAUUGGGCAAGUAAUUGGAGGAGUCAAAGAGAAAGAAAGUAAACAAAAUAUAAAUAUAUAUAUCAGCAACUCCCUAGAUCUAAUCUGCUUCUGGCUCAGUUAGGUGAUCAGUCAUUAAGAUCUAUUGCCUCUCCACCUUCUUACUAGUACUCCCAGCCCUUUAGAGCAAAUUAUUAAACCAACCCUCGGAAAGUUCAGACACAUCCUUUGUAUUCCAACUGUGCAAGUGUAAUGUUAACCUAAGGUUCUCUUUCUUUUCAUUUGUAUGCUUGAAGAAAAAUCAACAAGAAAAUGCAAUACCAGCAGGUAUUAUUUGUAAUUCAUAUGGAAAUUAUCAUUAACAUAUGCCUACAUAUCGAAAUCUUCAAAAGGUUGUCAGAGUUUAUCCGCAGCAAUCCAAUCUAUUUUAUCAAAGACAGAAAAACUUAUGUUCAAGCAGAACAAUCAAAAGGGAAAGUAAAUGCCCGAAUUUUGAGCUAGCACCAAUAAAUUGAAGAUGUACAUUAUUGACAAGCCUAGAACAAUAUCAGCUUGAAAAGAAGCAGAUAAAAGCACAUAUUUAGACAAGAGAAACUUACAAACUACCUCAGUUUUUGUGCUGCAGUUGGGACACCAGAUGAACUCAAGUUGGCCCUUUCUGAAUCGUUUGCUGCACGAAAGCCAGCUGUAAUAAAUGUUACUAUUGAUCCCUAUGCCAGUACAAACUACCUCAGUUUUUGUGCUGCAUCCUACCACUUUCUGCACCGGCAUAGGGUUCAAUAAUAACAUUUAUUAAAGCUGGCUUUCGUGCAGCAAACGAUUCAGAAAGGGCCGACUUGAGUUCAUCUGGUGUCCCAACUAAAUAUCCUUUUCCCCCAAAAGCUUCCAUGAGCUUAUGAUAAGCUGCACCAGGUACAAAAGAAGUAGGUGCAGGAUCAUCUUUGAAAGGCCCUGCAAUUUCUUCAGGGUUUCUGCGAUCUCCACCAUACACACCACCAUUAUUAAAAACUAUCACGACAACAGGCAACUGAUAUCGAACCAAUGUCUGCAAAAUCAGAAGAAACAGAGACCACAUUAGUCUCUUUUUCCUCUCCCACCUUUUUCCAUUUAUUGGAUGAGGAUAUGCUAUACGUAUGAAUCAACUUUGGACUUAGACAAAGUAAAAUUCAUUUAUUCCAUUAAUUGAUUAACAUUGACACACUAUCUUCUAAAAAUUCAUUUAUUCCAUUAAUCAAUCUUCUAACUACACAGAUAUGCAAACAUCCAAGUGCGAGCACAUCACAAGCACAAAUUCUCAUUUUUCAUUCAGAAGGAAAGUGAAAAAGAGGGGGGGAAAAUGGAAGGUAUCUACAAUAAAAAACCCUCAUCUAAGUCACACAUCAAUGAAGAAUGCAAUAGAAGAAAUCUUUCCACUAAAUACAGAAAGAUGCACCAAGAACUACCCUUCUGAAAGCAAGGCAGCAAUUACGCAAGUUCGGAUUAGCUAAAACUAAAUCCGACAGUGGCCAUAUAGCAUUUGAUAAUUACAAGACUACUCGUUCACUAGAAUAGAACCAGCAUCAAAAGAAACUCAAAUAUCCAAAUCGUAAGAAAAUUAAGGAUAUAUUGAGAAAAGGAAGACACAGGGGAUAAAAGCCAUUUAGGAACCGUACCAUCAACUAUCGAUCCCUGAGAAAAAAGGAAAUGAGCUAGGAAACUAGAUAAAGUAAAACCUAAACAGUAUGUCCUAAAAUCAAGAAGCCAGACUGCCUGUAAUGAGCAAGCGAAGUUUUCCAAAUUUGUGACCAUCAUCCCAGUAAAUAAUGAAAUGCUUUAGAACGCAUGAUAAAGUUGAUGCUGGCACUCAAAGCUUUAAACAAGCAAGAUUUGACUUCCCAAACUAAGGUAGUCAGUCUCUCCCAUCAAAUAGAGAAGGAUCCAGUACAAGCUGAUGAUCAAAACUUAGAUUUGCCUAUAUCCACUUGAAACUGCAUCAGCCUUCAAAUUCUUCAAAAGUUAUUACCAUAGGAAGACAACUCACAAAUGUCCUAAAUCUUUAAAAUCUAAUAUUAGACCAUUGGAGAUGUGCCGCAGAUUUCAAUAUUAAAGCGAAAGUAGAAUAAAAUGGAACGCUAAAGAGAAUCUUAAAAUAACAAAAUAAUCAUAAAUGACUAGCAAUUUGCAUCAUGUUUGUUGAUGAAUUAAGGAAGUCAAGCAUGGUGUACAAGUUUAUUCUUGUGAAUAAAAUGUAUGCAUAAAUAUCGUUAUAUGCUAGAGAUCAUAAUUAUGCAAGAGAGCCAUACCUCAACCUCAACCGCACUGAACCCAAAUCCAGAGUCUCCUUCAACAGCAACCACAAGCCGUUCAGGGCAAGCUAUUGCAGCAGCAAUGCAAUACCCUAAACCAACCCCCAUGGUCCCCCAAGUCCCUGCAUCCAGCCUACAACGAGGCUCAGUUUGAACCAAUACUGCCCUACCCACAUCCAUAGUAUUUGCCCCUUCAGAUACCAAUAUAGGAGCGGGGCUCCCGACUCCUAAGAUCGCAUCUCUUAUAAUCCUCAUUGGCGUCAUGAAAUUAAACGGCACAACAUCCUUCACCAACUGAACCUCCAUUUUCAACACAUUGUCAUUCGUUUUCUUCCAAAUAGCCUCAACCCAAGGAUGAUUUUUCCCCAAACAAAAAGGUUCAUCUUUAAUCUCCUUAUUAAUCAUUUCCAACACUUUUUUAGCAUCUCCAACCAAACCCAAGUGUGGUUUCCUUAACUCAAUCUCUUCCUUGCAAACAUCAACCAAAACAAACUUCACAUCCUUCGACCACUUCGGUGGCUCACCAAAAUGCAACAACCAAUUAAGCCUCGCACCAACAACAAGCGCAACAUCACAUUGACCUAUGGCUAAUGACCUCGCAGCGGUAGCAGCAAGCGGAUGGGUAUCAGGCAACAGACCUUUACCCAUUGGAGUAGGCAAAAAUGGAAUCCCAGUGCUUUCAACUAAUUUCUUCAAUUCACCCUCAGCUCGCGCAUAAGCUGCGCCUUUCCCAAACACAAUCAACGGCUUCUUUGCUUCUUUAAGCAAAGACACCGCUUUAUCGAUAUCAGAAUUCACAAUCCCCCCUUGCGUCACCGUUUCUUUGGCACUCUCCGCUUCCUUCAGAAGCUUCUCCGCUUCAGAUACCGAUAUCGUUUGAUGUAAAACAUCAGUGGGUAGAUCCAAAUAACACCCGCCGGGCCGCCCCGAAACAGCUCGUUCAAGAACCUGAGCGACACACUUGGGAACUUCCGUAAUGUCCUUCGCUUUUACAGCAAAUUUCGAAAAAGGCUUGACGGCUUCCACUUGGUCGAGUUCUUGAAAAUCGCCGCGGCCAAAAUCUUUCUGAUCGCAGGAGCCGGAUAUCAUGACGAUUGGCCACGUGUUAAUCAUCCCAUUCGAGAGACCAGCCAGACCGUGCACGUAACCCGGACCGGAAACAGUUAACAGAAUGCCGGAUUUUCCAGUCAGGUAUCCGUAGGCGGAGGCGGCGUAGCCAGCGGACUGCUCAUUGUGGAAGGCGAUGAACCGGACGCCGAGCUGGACGGCCCGGUUCGCUAAGGAAGUAACGGGAAUGCCCACCACGCCGAACAUGUGGGUGGCACCGAAUAGUGACAAGGAUUUGGCCGCCAGG
rnacentral:lncRNA from 1 species